rnacentral:lncRNA from 1 species
AGGCAUCACGUUGAGACAGGAGAGAUAUGCUUCACGUAUUCUUGCUGAGACAGGUAUGAACGACUGCAAUCCCACACAUGUACCGAUGGAUAUGAAUCUGAAGUUAUCCAAAGCUACCGAUGAGAAGGGUGUUGAUGAGAAGAAAUACAGAAGAAGCAUUGGAUGCUUACGAUAUCUUAUCCACACACGCCCUGACCUGUCAUACAGCAUUGGAGUUCUUAGCAGGUAUAUGCUUGAUCCUAAAGUCUCUCACGAUGGAGCUUUGAAGCAGGUUCUGAGGUAUUUGCGUGGAACCAGCACUUAUGGACUCACUUACACGCGCGCUGAUACUGUAAGGUUGCUAGGAUACAGUGACAGUUCUCUCACCGUCGAUGAUGAUGAUGGUAGAAGCGUAACAGGACACAUAUUCUACCUCAACGACAGUCCUAUCACCUGGUGUUCUCAGAAGCAAAAAAGCGUGGCACUAUCAUCUUGCGAGGCUGAGUUCAUGGCAGCCACUGAAGCUGCGAAACAGGCCAUAUGGCUUCAAGAACUUCUAAGCGAGAUCAUUGGAGGAGAAUGUGAGGCAGUAACCAUCCGAGUUGAUAAUAAGUCCGCUAUCUCUCUUACGAAAAACCCUGUUUUCCAUGGCCGCUCUAAACAUAUUCACCGAAGAUAUCAUUUCAUAAGGGAGUGUGUCGAGAAUGGUCAAGUGGAGGUGGAGCACGUUUCAGGAAGCUUGCAGAAAGCGGAUAUCUUGACUAAAGGACUCGGGAAGAUCAGAUUCACAGAGAUGAGAGAACUUAUUGGAGUUGUAGAUGCAGCACAGGUUCACUUCAAGCUUAAGGGGGAGUAUGUUGGAGUAAGCAUGAAGUUAACAAGACAAGGAGAAUGACGUGUGAAGCAAGCUAAACAUAGUCCUAAUCUAUUUGAGUUUGAGAUAUGGAUAAAGAUGUUUUAGGAGUUAUCUAUAAGCAUGAUAAUAGGAUCUAUGUUUAGUUAUAUAAAUACAUCCAUCGAGUUAUGAUGAGAUUGUAUGAGUUUGAGGGAUUAAAGGUUUUGAGUAAGUUUUACCUUUGAGGUUAAUAUAAGAGAGUUAUUCUUAUUCUUAUUCUUCAUUCACAUACACAAUCCAUAAGCAAUCUAACGUAGAGUUUCAACAGUUUCUUCUUCUUUCUCCUCCAUUGUUACGUGAGCUCAAGUUCCUGUAAUGUUUUCAUUUACAUUUUUUUUUCGUGCACAUAAAAGGUUUCUUUUUCGUUUGCUAUAUCAAAUCUAGCUAAAUCAAAGCAAAUUGAAAGAAAAUUCUUUAUAAAUCAAUGAAGAACAAAUGGUUAAUUAGAUUUGAAUUAUAAACCGGAGUUUUCAAUAAAACCAGGUCACCGGUUCUUACGGUUUUUGGCCGAUUUUACCGGUUCAACUCACAUCCGGUUUUAGAACUGACCCGGACUCGGCUAGGUGUGGGAGUCACGGUUGAACCGGUCCAACCGGCCGGUCCAGUCCGGGUUUCAAAACCUUGGGUGGAAGAGAAGUAAACAGCAUAAAGAAAACCAAAAGGGGGUUCGCGUUUCAGAAGCGAAGCCACCACCACACCCUUUCUUUCUUAUUCUUGGGAGUUCAGUGGUGGUGAUCGCCAUGUCCGUCAGGAGGUCCCCCAGGACCAACCACUUGAAGCUAUCAAUCAUUAAACCCAUUUUGCAGUGAUAAGUUUAUGAAACUUAAUUUGCUUUGUAGAUUUAAAGAGAAGCUAGGAUACAUACAUACCUUAAAGUACUGGGAACACACAGGGCACUCAAAAGACUUGCCUUUCUCCAGCCAAAACCAGACAACGUCAUGCUCAUCCUCUGCCGUUCAAAAGAUAUAUCUCUCUUUGCUCCACAUUAAAGUGGGUAAGAUAUGAUAUCUGAUACGUAGAGAGAAAGAGAAAAAGAAGAACACCUGCUUCACCUCCUGGGCAACCAACUAUUCUCAUGUGGUAGUAGGAUUUGACUAUAGCAGGAGCUUACUGUAGCAGAGAUAAAGUAAAAGUGAAAACAAGAAUCUCAGUCUAUCCCAUGUUGAUUUCAUCCAAGACAGUAGUAACCUUUGUUCCAAAAGGACCCUCGGGAAAGUCUAUAUCGAGCAGCUUCCUUCCCUGGUGAAUGGUGAAGUAAUAGCAAUCAGAAUCUGAUGAAAGUGUAAUGAGAAUACAUCACAGAGCCUUUGCAGAUUAUGAAAAUUUAAAGUAACAUACCAUUAAUGUGGUGUAGCUAUAAGCUUAAGCUAUCUCAAAUUAUGAAUCAGUCUCACAGAGUAACAUUUCAGCAUCAUCAAACAAGAAAGAGGAAUGCUUUUGACCAUCGACUUCCCCCCUGGCUACGUUGUUUCGACAUUAAUUUUAAAUAAACAGACGUAACUAUGAAACAACAAAAAUAAAGGAUCAAAUUUUCGGGAUUUUUGAACCCGACGUGAAUCGAACACGCAACCUUCUGAUCUGGAGUCAGACGCGCUACCAUUGCGCCACGGAUCCUUGGUGCUUAAUUACGUAUCUUAAUUAUAAAUCACAUCAAAUUUAAAUUGAUUUACCGACGAGAGGUUGAUAGAUGAAUUAGGGUUUAUUGUUUGCGUCUCCUUCCUUCCCCCUUGCUGACUAUUACUCUGACUUGGAGUCUCCAUUAUUUUAAAACCCAGGUGGUGAGGAGGACAAGCACUAAAUCGCCAGCUGCUUUCUUAUUUGAAGCCUGUUUAAUUCCAUUUAGGUGAGCCGACUAGUCCAUGUUAGCUAACGGUUUUGGUUUUUAUUGGUUCAGCCAUUGAUUUAGUAUUUGGAUUGUUGCUGUUAGAAACAAAGUGUUCUUUAUGCCCUUCCUUCUCUUAGGAAGACUUAAAAGAUGGAGGAACUCAGCGAAGUCUUGAAGAACAAUAGGACGCAAGAUAUCUCUUGGCUUUGCUCUCUUUCAGAACCUGAACUGGUAGUUAUAUUUAUUUAUUUACUUGGAGACGAGGAAACCCAUUCAACGAUUGUUAUUACCAAUCCUCCUCACCAAAAUUCGUUUUUGCAGGAUUUGCUCAUCAGCUUAAAGAAGCUAGCCAUUCAUCGAGCUGAAAUAACUGAUCACUACGAACUUGCUGAUUAUUUUGAUCUCAAGUUGCUCCGCGCUCUCGGUAUGUCUUGUGUUUUUGCUUCUAUGUUGCACAAUCAUGAUUCUUAUUGUGAAGCUUUCCAUCUUUUACAAGUAUGUUACUUGGGGGUAUAUGACAGGGCUUGUGCUAAUGGAAUAUGUAAGAAAAAAGGAUACCUCCCUUGUCCCAAGCGCUGUUCAUCAACUGAUGGGUUUGGAUAAAUGCAAUCUGUUGAAAACUCAUGUCGAUGAUACAACAAUAGACAUUGAGGAGAUAGUGACCGGAAUCUGCAAAAUGAAAAAGAAAAAGAAGAAGAAGAAGAGAAAACCCAUCAGAUUAAGAAGUAAAUCUCUCAAAAGGUUGGUUGGUUGGUUAUUCUAAUCACUACUUGGAUCUACUUUUUUCCUUACUAGCUAAAUUUUUAUGCCUUGGUUUCGUGUUUGAAGGAGGCGUUAUAAGUAGCUGUGGUUGCGGUGGGGGAGAAAAGACUCUUCAACCAAUAAUCAGGAUAUUUAACAGCCAGAAGGAGCACAAAAGAUGGAUUUUGAUGAAAAAUGCAUAAGCAUGGUCAUGGACAUGGUGGACGCAACGAUGCAGGGGUGGCUUCCUUGAAUAUUUAGUUAGCUUCUUUUGCCAAGCAAGUAGCUUACUUUGUGCUGUCUUGUGGCAGAUUUAGAAAAGCUGCAUCUUUCAUAGUAAAGGCAUUAUGAUGAUUUUAUAUCAAAGAUGCUUUAGUUUGAGGACCCAAGUGUAUCUUUAUCAUCGCUUUGUAUUCAAAUGUUAAAGAAGUUCAGAGGCGCAGGGUUUUUCUUAAAUUUUUUAAAAUGGGUGGGGCUAUAACAUGAUUAGUACCGAGUGGAAGUCCUCAAAGUGCAAAAAAACAAAAGUAUUUGUGAAUAAAAAGGAUAUGUUCUGGUAAUUACUGGUAACUGCGACGGGCUUACUUUACCAAUGGGCCUGAGAUCUCUCUCUCUCUCUGAGAUUCACCUAAACUAGCAAAGCUUCUUCGCUUUCCCUCGUAUGACUGCGGAAAUCAAAAUAUAUAGGUAGCGGAAGGAAACCAACAAUUAUGGAGUCGCCGGUUCGAGUUGAUCGGACUGGCUUAGAAACAACCCUAACUCCGGGGGCGAUGUGCAGUCGCAGAGUUUGGUCANNNNNNNNNNNNNNNNNNNNNNNNNNNNNNNNNNNNNNNNNNNNNNNNNNNNNNNNNNNNNNNNNNNNNNNNNNNNNNNNNNNNNNNNNNNNNNNNNNNNNNNNNNNNNNNNNNNNNNNNNNNNNNNNNNNNNNNNNNNNNNNNNNNNNNNNNNNNNNNNNNNNNNNNNNNNNNNNNNNNNNNNNNNNNNNNNNNNNNNNNNNNNNNNNNNNNNNNNNNNNNNNNNNNNNNNNNNNNNNNNNNNNNNNNNNNNNNNNNNNNNNNNNNNNNNNNNNNNNNNNNNNNNNNNNNNNNNNNNNNNNNNNNNNNNNNNNNNNNNNNNNNNNNNNNNNNNNNNNNNNNNNNNNNNNNNNNNNNNNNNNNNNNNNNNNNNNNNNNNNNNNNNNNNNNNNNNNNNNNNNNNNNNNNNNNNNNNNNNNNNNNNNNNNNNNCUGCCUAUAUAUAUAUAUAUAUAUAUAUAUUCUUUUUUAUUCAAGAGAUAAAUUUGUGUAUAUCUAAUCUUUUUUCUCUAUUUGGUAGUCUGUGUUCAGGUGCUGAAUACCUUUUACAAGUUGUGCGAGGUGCUAUCCCUCAUGCGUAUUUUGAUCCAAGUUAUUCUAUUUCCACUUCUGAAGUUGCUGUCCACGUUCUUGAUUUCCUUUACAAGAAGUUGGAUCAAGUAUGCCUUGUCCAAGGUGGUGAGGUUUGUUGCCUUUCUCAUUCUGUUUUUAUGUUUUUUUUUCACUUCGUUUUUUAUUUCUUCCCAAGCUGGUGUAUUGAUAUUAUCUGGAUCUCAGGUGGAAGGAUUUCACAUGCUGCUGCAAAUCUUCGCUGGAACUUUAUUGCCUUAUAUAGAGGGUUUGGAUUCGUGGUUGUUUGACGGAACUCUUGAUGAUCCUUUUGGUGAGGUACGUAUUCUUGCAGUUGUAUCUAUCUUCUAUGUCUCUUCUUAAAUUUCUUUAUAGCAGUUUAACAUGCAUCAAUGACUUCUUUGCAAGGCUAGCUGAUUGAAAGUUUAAUGAUGAUGAUAAAUCUUUGGUUGUGGUUUUUUGCUCUUCGCAGUUGUUUUUUACAGCCAAUCAAUCCGUCUCUGUCAACGAUGCAGAGUUUUGGGAGAAAAGUUAUAUCUUGAUGAAGGUGCCGGGCCCAAAGUCAAAUGAAAAGAAAGGACUGAGUGGAACUGACUCCAGUUCAGUUUCUGACAAAGAGCAGAACAAUCGGGUGCUAUGCCCAUUAUUCUUAAAAGACAUCUCUAAAUCGAUUGUUUCUGCUGGGAAAUCAUUGCAGCUGAUGCAGCGUAUUCCUUCCACGUCUUCAGAGAUUCAUUGCCAUGGGAGAAAUUGUUUUGGGAAUUCUACACUACCGGCGAAAUACAACAAUAGUAGGAGCACUGCAGACUUAUCCUUGUCUGAAAUCUUUUGUCUAACGCUUGCUGGCCUUAUAGGCCAUGGUGAUCACGUCUCUAGAUAUCUGUGGAAAGAUGAGGCGGAUGAGUGGGAGAUUUCUCCAACUUUAGCAUCAUAUAUAGGUGUAGAGCUGGGGAGUGACAUGGUUGACAAAGAUCUUCCAGUUCUCACGGGCUCAGAGCGAAUGUGGUAUAAGUUGUUGGUCGGUGCGGUGCAAGAGAAAAGAGCUAUGGAGGCCAAAUCAGAACACCAGAGUGCAUGUUAUCUUACUGGUGUGAAGGACGGAAAAACUAGCCUCACUGUCAAAAAGGCAUUGCAGGGUUUAUUCUGUCAUGAAAACCCUGUUGUUUCAGUAUCUAAAAUGGAUCUUGAGAGGAAUAAGAAUGCUUGGAAUGUCUUGAACUUGUCACACAACUACUGUCUACCGUCUCUAAAUGAUGAGAGUUUGUUGGGUGCUAUUUUUGAGGAAUCUGGCCUGGCAGAUGCUGGAUUGAGCGGCACAAACUACAAAUUUGGAUUCCAAUUUGGUACAUCUGAAUAUCUUUCUUCUCAGGAUGACACCGAAGUUCUUGAAACGUUGUUUCCCUUUCCCACUUUGCUUCCGUCAUUCCAGGUACUUUGAUAGUGAUGAUAUAAUCAUUCUAUGUCCACUCCUUAACUUUUAUUCCACGUGCAAUAGUUUCUGAUAGCUGACUUUGGAAUCUUUGUUAUCAACAAUAAAAACAAAAGCCGGAGCUCCAUAUGUCAGAGUUCCUACCUUUCCAAAAGAAUAGUACCCUUCUUUCAAAAGUUCUCAGCUGGAUGCUAAAGGCAGAGCCAAGGGAUGCUCCGCUUCCUGUUGUAAUAAUGCAAGAAUGCUUCACAAUCUACAUCAGGAGGCAGGUACGGUGAUAUAUGCUUUGCAGUGCCGUUUGUUUCUAUGGCAUUGCAUACUUUUGUGAGCUUAUGAAAGUUGUGCGUGUUGUAGGUGGACUACAUUGGCAAAAUGAUUUUAUCAAAACUAAUGAAUGAUUGGAAAUUGAUGCACGAACUUGCCGUGUUGCGUGCCAUUUACUUGUUAGGUUCAGGUAGGUUUUAUGUGCUUCAGCAUCUUUGUCUACAUGGCCUGUAUCUGGAAUCUUAACGAAACCGUAAAAUUUUCAGGGGACCUUCUGCAGCAUUUUCUGACUGUCAUAUUCAACAAGUUGGGCAAGGGAGAGUUAACAAAUGAUGAUUUUGAGUUGAACAUAAUCCUUCAGGUAACCAAGUUUGAUUUAGCUCUUUCUACUAAAACUGCCGUAUAUCGUGUUCACACAAACAAGGUUGAUUCCAAAUUUGAAUGGUUAUCUACAGGAAUCAAUUAGGAAUUCAGCUGAUGCCAUGCUGUUAAACAGUCCUGAUUCGUUGGUGGUAUCUAUUUCCAGAGAAGGUUGUUUAGACAAAGACAAAGAUGACAAGGGUGAUGUAGUACCCCUUUCUUCCACUCGUAAAAGCCGUAUUAACAACUUUGGGAUAGACUGCCUCGAGUCUCUCAAAUUCACAUACAAGGUACAGAGAAAGACAUUUACUCGUCCAACCAGUUGCAGCGUAUUAACAUUUUUGUGUAUUUAAAUAUCCAAACUAUUUUUGAAGGUGCCAUGGCCGCUUGAGCUUAUUGCCAAUAGUGAGGCCAUUAAGAAGUAUAACCAGGUAACCCUUUCUCAUCUGUAUUUUUUUGGGGAAACAGUUUGUCGUUCUCAUGUGUUAAUUAUUUAAAUGAAAACAGGUGAUGGGAUUUUUGCUGAAGGUCAAACGAGCAAAAUAUGUGCUAGAUAAAGCACGAAGGUGGAUGUGGAAGGUUCUUGCUCAUUUCUUUCUUCUUAGAAUGUUUCAUGUGACAUCUAAAUACACUUUCAAAGGGGCUAAUCAAUGUUAUGAUCAAUAUGGAUAAAUAUAAAGAGUAUUGAUAAUAACGUGGUGUAGUUUGAUAAAAUUUGUGAUUUGGUGCGUUUGUGUAUGUGAUAGGGUAAAGGCUCAGCAACAAAAAUCCGCAAGCACCACUGGUUACUUGAACAAAAGCUACUUAAUUUUGUGGAUGCUUUUCAUCAAUACGUAAUGGACAGGGUAAUGUCUGAUACUAUAUGAUUGAUUAUGAUUACAGUAUCAUUUUCGUUGAAGUAAUAUAUGUGGAAGAGCUGUGGGCAAAAUAGAAAGUUGAUCUUACGGCUUCAAUAAUAUACUUACUGGAUCUUGUAAACAGGUAUAUCACACAGCAUGGCGCGAACUGUGCGAAGCAAUGGUAAAAGCAGGGUCUCUAGACGAGGUCAUAUAUGUACAUGAGACCUACUUGUUAUCGAUUCAGAGGCAAUGCUUUGUGGUUCAAGAAAAGCUGGUACAUGGACCAUUACAUUAUCUCUUCAGUUGCAUAAGAUUUUGUGUGUGUGAAUUUGUGGCGCCAGAAAACUAAGUGUUUCAUGUUUGAUGGUUGCUGUGUAGUGGGCAAUCAUCGCAAGUCGGAUCAACAUGAUUCUCGGAUUAGCUCUGGAGUUCUACUCGAUACAACAGACUCUGAGCAGCGGUGGAGCAGUCUCAGCAGCGAUCAAGGCUAGAUGCGAAAUGGAAAUAGACCGCAUUGAGAAACAAUUUGAAGACUGCAUAGCUUUCCUCCUUAGAGUAAGGCCAUCGAAUCUAAAACUCUGUAUACUUGUUAGUUGUAAUAUGAAAGCUUAGUUGAUUAUUGAAUCUGUAGGUACUGUCUUCGAAGCUGAAUGUGGGACACUUUCCUCAUUUGGCUGAUUUAGUGACCAGAAUCAAUUACAAUUAUCACUACAUGUCCGACACUGGAAGCUUGAUGACUGUUUCUGGAGCAGAGACCAGCUCAUCUAGAACAUGAACUGCCAAAUAUGAUGUCUGAAUCGACCAAUCUGAGACGGGGGAAAUCUUUGGAUGGUCUCAGACUUUUCGUCAGUUCUUUCGUAGUAGCUUUCAAAGCUUUUAAAAUAGAUAUGAUUGUAAGAUGUGGGUGAAUGCAUUAUUAGCUCAAGACAUUUCCAGUUUGUAUAUGUUUUAUGUGCUUGUGAUGUUUGAAACUCAAAAAAUAUGUAAAAGGUGUUAGGCAAAAGAAAAGAAGAAAAGUUUUCUAUAAAGUUUCAGCCUGUUCCGAGAGACUAUUUGUAAGCAUACUUGGUGCUGGUGCUGCUAUUUUAUUCAGAAGAAGAGAUACACUCAGGAUGUUAUAAAAAAAAGAGGGAUGCACUCAGGAAAAAGAAGCUUCUGCACUCUUUAAUCCCUUGUCUUGACACUAGCCAAGGCAAAUAAAAAUUUACUUUUGGUUAAAAAAUGUGUUAAUUUGCCUACCAAGUACCAACUAUAUUAAGAGACAAUAUUAAUAAAAUAACCAUGUAAAUGUUCCAAAGAAAAACGUUCCAACAAAAAAAACCAUGUAAUAAAGUGGGAGAUGAAUAGAAUAAUUUGACACAAAGUUGAAAUGAUAGUUUUAACAAAACUAUUUGUAAGAUUAAAGUACUUUACAAUUAAUACUACAGUUAAAAUCGAUAUAAAUUGUAUCAAAAUUCUAGAUUGACAUUUUUGUAACAAAAGAAUUAUAUUAUCAUUAAUAAAUUCAAAUCUAAAUCUAUUUUUUAAAGAGUUUACUUUUAGCUGGUUUGAAAUUUUAUUUCUUAUGUGCUAUUUGGAAAAUAAAAAUAUAUUUUAUUACUAUUUUAGGUAUUUGUCUUGAAAUAUUUUUGAUGGAGUCUCUUAUAUAUAUAUAUUUUUUUGAUCAAAACGAGUUUCUCUUAUUUAUAAAUGAAAUUUGUCUGAUUUAAAUAAACAAGGAGAGAAGAAGCUUGUCUGAUGAUGCCCAUGCAAAGCGCGUUGAGCGCGUCAUCCCAGAAUCAAAAGAGUAAAAGUGUAAAACCAAUCCCAGAAUCCAAAGAGGGAGUAAAACCAUAGGCGCGUGAUAGGCCUUCACAACUAAUAUUACUUUUCUCUUUCCUUAUUUAUAGUCGGUACAAAAGAAACUUGGUUUGGUUCGGACAUAAGUUAAUGCAAACCGGAUUCUUUUUACCAAGAUUCAGCAUUUCACACUUGUACUUUAACGGACAAAUAAAUAGAAAAGCUUUCAAUCACAUGAAAACAGAGAAAAUUACAAUAACUCUGGUCAUGAUGAAUACACACACAGCUGCUAAGACCUCAAAAUCACCCCCCAACUUCUUUCCUUUUGGGGCAGACAAAAAGAAAAACAAAACACAAACCACUAAUCGAUUGUGAUCUAAGAAGACAACAAGAAGUGAUCACUCAGUCACUAAGUACAAGUCUGCUUAUGAAUGGGGUCAUGGCUGCAAGAAGCGCCUUUGGACACUCCUCAUGCGGCAGAUGACCACAUCCUGAGAUUGCUACUAGCCUCUGUUUGUUUGAACAAUGUCUAAUGUUAGUCCCUGAGAGACAGAGAGUUAUUCGUUUUAAUUAAAUAUACGGAAGACUUACAGAGUUAAAGAGUUUUGAAGCCAUGACUUGGGAGGACUUGAGGGGAACAAGUGCGUCUUCUGCUCCAGCAACGACUAAUACUGGUAAGCUUUCCACUGCUUUGAGAAGCGACUGUGCAUUUUGAGUUGAAAGCACCAUCUCGGAUGAGAGUCUACCUAUCUCGUGAAGCGCCUCGUCCCAGCCUUCGACAUGGAGUGGUGCCUUGUAUAGCUUUAAGACAUCUGAUGUCAUCUUGGCAGGAUCAUACCAAGCUCGACGGUUCACCACCUGAGCUAUCUCAGUUCGCAAAAGCGGGCGAACAAGGUGUUUCUUUCCUAGUGAUGUGUGCAGAAGUAUUCUUGCAAAAGCUGGGACUACUUCCCUCGUCAAGCUUACAUUAAGCAAAACCACUCCUUUCACUUUGAUGGUGGCAUCAUCAUUUGAUGCUACCAAUCUUUGUGCAGCCUUGAGAGCAAUCAAACCUCCAUCAUCAUGGCCAACCAAGACUACCGAAGCAAACCCCAUUUCGUGGCAAAAAGCAACAAGCAUGUCUACCUGCAAACAUCCAAGAACAGAUCAUUGAGUUUUUACAUUUCUUUCUGAAGUGCAAAUACAAAAGCUUCCACCAAUGAAGAUCAAAUUACCUGAUUUUCCAGAGUGUAAGGGUUUGGCAAAUCUCUUUCUUCCAAAUCCUUAACAUGAGGCCUAGCGGUUAAUCCCCAACCAGGCCUAUCGAAAGCAGUGACAACACAGCCAAGCUGAUGGGCGAGAGAACCCAUCACAUUUCUCCAAGAGAACACUCCACCUCCAAAUCCAUGAACCAGCACUACACCAAAACUUCCAUCGGAGGGAUCUUGCUGCUCCGUGACACCACCGCAACUGGACGCAUUCAUGACAUCCUCUUCUUCCUGAGUAUCUUUGAAAAGAAGAGGAGAAGUAGGAGAACCCUCUAGGAGAGGAUCGUGCAAGGAAGAAGACGAAUUGUUGAAGAGGCUGCUGCAGCUUUUAUGGUGAUGAUGAUUGAGCUUGUUUCUAGUGACCAUGCUCAAUAGUUUCCUGUCAAGCUUCAACCUUCCUGCCAUCGCCUCCGGCACAUUGAGCAUAGAAUUAGCUUCGGGAGAAAGAGUUGAGGAGACAGAAGACUGCCGAGGAGAGCCAGGUGUGCAUAUCUUGUAAUGCACAGAGAGUCCCGUGACUGUAACGAACAAGCUGUCAAGAUCAGCGAGUACUCUCACUGGAAGCUCUCCAUCAUUGGAAGUAGAUGAAGGAAGCUUCCGUCUGACCUCGCCAUCAGUCUUGGAGACCUUCCGAACCAAAGGAAUGGGAGAACGUGGGACUUUCUGGUAACUAGAGAAGACACUUUUACACGAAAGAACCUGCAAACAAAAAAACACACAGAAGUCAAAGAGAUGAUGUUUAGUUAAAAGGUUUGCAGGCAAAGUUAGUAAGCUUACAGCUUCAGGGUCGACCGCUCUGUGGAACAAGAGUUUCCUCCGAGCUCGGCAGCUAGUUCUAUAAGCAACAACGGUAUGACCAAGAGCGAAAACCACAGAAGAAAGGAACAAAACUGGCAUCCCCCAAGACUUCUUGAGGUGAAGUCGUUGCCUUGACGGAGAGAUCGAUGCUUCAGCGUUGAGCUGAGAGUUAGCAGUGAAAAUGCAAGCUUUAACCGAAAGAAGAACAAUGGAAACAACGGAACACAAGGACACAGUUCCGAGGUAAGGUCCGUGAGAGAGUGCAGGCCCAUCGGAUAGUGAAUACACACCUGUUCAUCAAUUAAAAAAAAAAAGAAACUUUUAAGAUUAAAAAAGUGGAGAAAACUCUCAAAGGAAAGGAGGGAAGGUGAAAGGUACAGAUGAGGAGGAAAGAUCUGAGGAGGGAGACGAGAGGAAUAUCAGUCAAAGAGGUCUUGAAGCUGUAUCUGCUGAGAUGGUCAUUGAAGCUGUAACAGGUCAGACAAGUAAAGCUGGAAAGCAAAAAGGUUGGGACCAAGACGUCGCCGAUGGCAACGAGGACAGGCAAGGAGGAGACUAAGAGGGAAACCAACAUGGCAACCAUGAAAAACACCGUCUUUAAGCAUCUUCCCAAUUUCUCUACCACCUUCCCCAUCUCUUCUUCCUCAAUUGAGAUCGAUUGGGAUCAGAUCAGAUCGUUUGAUCUAUGUGGGUGUUGAGACAGACCCUAGCGAGCAAUCCACCAAGUUCGGAGGAUUUUGUGAGGAUGGUGACGACUUGGCCAUCUGCCGGCGGCGAGAAUGAAGAGGGAGAGGAGGGGAGAUACCAAAGCAAUCCCCCUUUUUUGGCUAAUUAAUAAAAAAAAGGGGAAAUUAAAAAGCCAUUGCUACUACGAUUCUGAAAGGAAGGAUAUCAAAGCUUAAAAAGAAUUUCAGAAUCGCAGGAACGGCGAAAAGAGAAAGAGAGAAGAAGAAGAAGGAGAUUAGAAAAAAGGGAGACACUUUUGUUUGUAGAGAAAGCAAAAAGGAAAAAAAAAACAAAACCUCCCCUUUUUUCUCCUCCUAUUUUCUCACAACUUUUUUUUUUUUACAAGCUUUUAUUUAUAAGAAAUUCACUUUUGUUUUUUAUCGGUCAUUUUUCCAUUCAUAUGAGAAAAAGCCAAUUUAAGAUUUAUUCCAGAUAAUUAAAGUAAAGCCUUUCCCCCACUUGCUAUUUGCGAUUUUUUUUUUUAUAAAAAAUCAUCCGCUUACCAAAAAAAAUUAAGAAUCAUGUCUAUGAGACAAAGGGAGGCGUUGGCGAUAUUUACCCUUAGCUGAACAUAAUCAUCUUCUUCUAUGCACCCAACACAGAACUGGCUGCAUUUUGGAAUAGUUAAUCUUUCUAAUUAGUCGUCGCAAAUUACACUAAACAACAAAACAAUCAAGAGUGGUGACUGUUAUACCCCUAUAGAGGAAGUACUGUAACAGUGGUUGGCUUCAGACGACAACGGAUAGCGGGAGAAUCGAGGCUGUUUUUUUCUUUUUCUUUUUUAUUUAUUUUUGGUGACCGUUAACUUUCAAACUUGGAUUUCGUGUAGUUUUGAAGAUUCUUGUCGGGGACCAUUUUAUUGUCACAACAGUCCCCACAUUUCUACUCUCUCUCAAUCAGUGUCUCUAGCUUAUGACACAAAAACAAUGUGGACAAUCAUCGCUAAAUAUAUCAUACUUUGCUUGUACCUUUUCACAUGUAUAUAUGUACAUGACAAAAAAGACAUAUGUAUACGUAUAUGCAAAUUAAAUGGCNNNNNNNNNNNNNNNNNNNNNNNNNNNNNNNNNNNNNNNNNNNNNNNNNNNNNNNNNNNNNNNNNNNNNNNNNNNNNNNNNNNNNNNNNNNNNNNNNNNNAUUUUUUUAAAAAAUAAUCAAUUAAAAUUGUUAUUAUCAUUGAAUAUCAUUAUUUUUGACAUAAUUUGAGUUUUCGUUUACAUCAAAACUUAUCAUAUUUUAGGAUAAUUUUAAUUUAAAAUGUAAUUUUCAUAUUUUUUAAAAAAAUUCUAAAAUAUUUUUUAAAUAUUUUGUUAUAAUUGUUAAAAAAAUAUUGAGUUGUAUUUCAAAUAAAAAGGUAAAGAUAUUAAAAAUAUUCUAAUUAAAAUAUGUAAAAUUUAAUAUAGUUUUAAGGAAAUGGUCAAAAUAAAAAAAAUUACACAUAAAAUAAUCAUGAUUUUUGUUAACUGGGCGGAUCAUUAUUUAUAUGAUAUCGCACACGAAAGAAAAUUUUUUAUUUUUAAAAUUAUCUAAUUAACUCUAUACUCAUUUUUUUUUUUAUAUGAUAUCACACAUUCGUAAAAAAUAAAUAGUUUAAGAUGCAAAAAACAAAUAUUUACUUAAUGAAUAUAAUAUGAACAAAUAUUACAAUUACAUCAUUUAAUAAAAUAAAUAAUUAAAAACUGAAAAUUCAUAUCCGCGCUCAGGGUCUAGUUAACAUUAUAGCCAAAAAUUAAAAUGUGAAUUCUUCGACCAAGUAUUAUAAAUACAUAUAACAAAGAGGAGCAUAUGGCUAAUUAUAGAUCUCAUAAGGUCCAAAACUGAACCAACAUAUAUAUAUAUAUAAAAUAUAAGCAUCAUUCUCUUUUUAUCACUGUUGGGGCAGAACCACCGGUCUCCGGCGGCGGCUGAUGAGCUGACAUCUGCCCACCGUGAAGAAACUCACGUGCAAUAGCUUGGAACUCGCCGCCUCCUCCGAUACUGGACGAUUGCGAGACACCGAAGAGAUGAUCCGACGGUCGAGGUUGUUGCUGCAUGGGCCACGUGGAUGACAUCGGCUCAAAGAUUGGGGAGAGGUCGUACAUCGACGGUGUUAUUGUGGGCAGGUCUGAUAUGGAAAGAGGCGGCAGAGAUCCAGAAGACGUCACCGUGGCCGGCGGUGGCUGUGGCAGCUCUAGAGUUGCUAAAUGUGCUUGUACAUAUGAAAGCUCAUUUUGCAAACUCACCACCUGUUUUUUUUUAGACAAAAUCCAUGCAAAUGCUUAAAAAUUAAUACCAAGAAAAUAUUAAAGAGAUGUAAUAAUCUAAAUAUUGAUACUUUCAGCAAUAAAUGAUUACAUGAGUUUCCCAAUUCUCGAGCAAAUGUUGAUUCACUUAUGCCCAAAACACACGACAUGACUAAUUGCUUGCUUGUAACAUUUAAAAUACCCUUCACUAAUAUCAGUUUAUUGGAUGCAAUUGCACAAAUAUUCGAGUAUGUAACAAGCAUACUUUAUUUGAUCAAAGCAAUUGAUAUAUUUAUAUAUUGAAAAGACGCUUAGAAAUAAGCGUACAACUACGUGUUUUUGCGAACAGAGAAAGACAUCUCUUCUCAAUCAGUGGCUUGGAUUAACUUAGAAAACAUCUUUGUAAACAUUUAUUUAUAAAAAGUAAUACAACGUAUGCUCAAUGUGCUAAUUAAAUUAAAUUCAGAGAGAGAGAGGCCUUCAACUGUUCUGUAACGCAUUAGAUCAUGUCAUACAAGUAAGUAUGCAUACACUUUAUUACUAAACUAGUUGAUGGCGGACUAAUAUAUCCCAAUCAAUUGUAACUUUAACAUACUUUUUUAUUUUAAUCUAAAUUAAUUUAUUAGUUUCAAGUAUUAAAUUUAAUAUCUAAUCUAUAUAAUGUAAUUUUUUUUAUUACAACACAACUUAAUAAUGGCUUGGUAAUUAACUUGCAAAAUCUUUUAUCUAUUUUAUUAUCAAACCACAAAUGUAAAAAGCAUUAUCAUUGUAACAACAUAAUAAAGUUUUAUGAACACUUUAAAAUAACAUAAGAGAUAUAUCUACAAAAUAAACUAUAAUUACAAAUAAAGCGUAUGAAAGCAAACUCCUCUUCAUCAAAUAAUAUUAUAGAUGAUUGAACAUUUUUCCUUUUUCGAUGAUUCCUACUAACAUUAGUUUAAUUACAUUUUAUCGGAAUUUCUGUUUCAUCCGAGUUUAUAGUAGCACUUAUUAAAAAAAUAUACAAUAACUAAAAAAAUCUUUCUAUUCAACUAAAACCUAAUAAACUAAUGGUAAUAAAUUAUAUAUGUUUAGUAAAAGCUAGAUUUUUAAUUAUAACGAUAAGAUAUUAUAUUCUUUGGAGUCAUAGUUUUUUAUUGGUAAUCUGAUAUUAACGAAACUCAUAACACUACUCUUCCGUGACAUAAACUAAAAAUAUGUCAAAUAAGCAUAAUUAAUAAAAACAUGACCAAUGAAAACACAAGACGAUUAAUUAUGCUUAUUUGACAUAUUUUUAUUUUAUGUCACAGAAGAGUAGUGUUAUGAGAUUAGUUAACAUCAAGUUAACAAUCAAAAGCUAUGAAUCCAAACAAUCUAAUAUCUUGUCGUUAUAAUUAAAAAUCCAGCUUUUACGAGACAUAUAUAAUUUAUUAUUUCUAGUUUAAAAGGUUUUAGUUAAAUAGAAGUAUUUUUAAUUAUUGUAUAUUUUAUUAACAGAUAUCACUAUAAACUCGGAUGAAGAGGAAAUUUAAAUAAAAUGAAAUUAAACUAAUGUUCGUAGGAAUCAUCGAAAAAGGAAAAAUGUUCAAUCAUCUAUAAUAUUAUUUGAUGAAGAUUAUGAUUAAGGCUAGGAAUGCAAUUAUAAAUUAAUUAUUUUUAUUUUUCUCUGUAGAUUAUCAUGCUGAUAAUCGUAAGUCCUUAUUACUAAAACAAAAAAAAAGGACCACGAAUGAGAACAAAUCGCAGCUAAAACACAAGACGAUUUUUUUCGUCAAUGCUUAAGAGAGAGUACUUUGCAUGAGCUUGGGUAAAUGGGUAGAAACGAAAGCAAAGGAAGAGAGAAAUAUCAACAAUUUUCUUUUGUUAUAAAAAAAAGAAAAGGAAACUGGUAAGAUAACUGAUGAAUGUCACGACCUACAGACAGUAUAUUGACUUAAAAUUCUUGCGAUUUCCCAUCAUACUAUAUGAUAGUAAUAAGUUAUAGUAUUAAUAGAAUAAUUGUUUAUUUAAUAGUAUUAAUGGAAAAAUUAAAUUACCUGUUGCUGAAGAGAGACGAUGUGGGAGACGCAGCCGUAGAUAGGGUCUCGGAGACGAGACUGAGCCUCGAAACAGAUUGAAACGACAGCGUCUGCCCGUUUAUGCUCGGGAAUAUGGUGGAGGAGUUUUGAAACGUUGCUCGCUCCGAACACCUUAUGAACCGCCGCGAAGUGCGCCGCUCCUUGAUCGGAGUCGAAAUAGGGUGCGAAUAUGCAGCCGGGAACGCACUUCCGUCUCAAGAACUUACAGGCGCCACACGGUCCACCUCCACCGCUGCUGCUAGGGCUUCCGCUACUGCUCAUCUUCCUGAUUAGGGUUUUGAGAGAUAUAUAUGGAGCUAAUUCAACCAGGUUAGGUUGAUUAGCAGGAAAAAUUGGGAACGUUUGGGAGAGAAAGAGAGGAGUCGGACGUAAACAAAACUAGGGCUUGGUUGGUGCUUAUUGGAAACUUUUUAUUUCCCCCAAUAAUACAUUAAUUAAUUGUAGUAUCUAAUAGUAUUUAAUAAAUAAAUAAGCAUAAUAAAUUAAUUUUUUUUUUAACACUGUAUAUAUUAUGCUAUUACAAACUCGGAAAAAUAUUACAGACGGUUUUACUGCCGACAAUUCUACCUGCUUUAUGAAGAUUCACGUCUGACUGCAUCAUCUAAGCCGUCCUAUCGGAUCCACCUUUGACGGUACUUCUUGCAUCAUGCUGCAAAUCUCUUGUAAGUUGUUUUCGCAUAAUUCUGCUUUUUCCAGGAAUCGAAACCCAGACCUGCUGGUGUAAAAGCAUUAAUGAACCCUUGGUCAAACCACUGGACAACGGGGUUUCCAAAAUAAAUUAACUUGUAGGAACCCGAAUUGAGGUGAUGUCAAAAUGACAAACUUAGAUAAAAUAAUAAGAUAAUAACUUUUUGAAAAAAAAUUAUGUAAAUAUAUGGUCCCAAUGUAAACAUAAAUUAAUAUAAACUUUUUAUAAAUAUAAAAAUAUAUUGUAUAGUUUGUAUAUGUAAAAUUUAAUUAAUAUAUAUACAGUAAAAUCAAAUAUUUUUCUUAUUUUCACAUACAAAUAUAGAAGAGAAUUUUUUUGUAAAUUAAUAAAUAAUUAAAGAUCCAACACUACUAAUUUAUAGAAUUGUUACUGUACUACUAGUAGUUAAGAAAACAAAUGCUGUCAAAAGUAUAAAUCAUUUAUACUUUUCUUUUAAAAUAUCAUUUAAUUAGUUGUAUUAUUACCAAAAAAAACUAAGACGGUUAAGACAAGAUGAAAAAAAAAAAUUUCUUUUAAGCCACGCGAUCAAUCGUACUUGUCUCGUAUUAAGCUCUUUGCGUGAAGCAAAACAUUCCAUAUCUCUUAACUUCUUCAUUGCCAUUCCCUUCCUUUUUCUUCUACUUCUGGUUUAAAUUUAUUUUUGUUACAAUCAGUCCACACAGAUGAAUCUUUACUUAUAUAGAAAUGUAUUGAUGCAGGCUCAUUCUAAUAAAAUUAGACUUUAGAUUUACAAAGUAACAGUUAUUUAAAAAUGACCUUACAACUAAUCAUAAUAUUAAUUUUUUUAAAAAAUAAUCAAUUAAAAUUGUUAUUAUCAUUGAAUAUCAUUAUUUUUGACAUAAUUUGAGUUUUCGUUUACAUCAAAACUUAUCAUAUUUUAGGAUAAUUUUAAUUUAAAAUGUAAUUUUCAUAUUUUUUAAAAAAAUUCUAAAAUAUUUUUUAAAUAUUUUGUUAUAAUUGUUAAAAAAAUAUUGAGUUGUAUUUCAAAUAAAAAGGUAAAGAUAUUAAAAAUAUUCUAAUUAAAAUAUGUAAAAUUUAAUAUAGUUUUAAGGAAAUGGUCAAAAUAAAAAAAAUUACACAUAAAAUAAUCAUGAUUUUUGUUAACUGGGCGGAUCAUUAUUUAUAUGAUAUCGCACACGAAAGAAAAUUUUUUAUUUUUAAAAUUAUCUAAUUAACUCUAUACUCAUUUUUUUUUUUAUAUGAUAUCACACAUUCGUAAAAAAUAAAUAGUUUAAGAUGCAAAAAACAAAUAUUUACUUAAUGAAUAUAAUAUGAACAAAUAUUACAAUUACAUCAUUUAAUAAAAUAAAUAAUUAAAAACUGAAAAUUCAUAUCCGCGCUCAGGGUCUAGUUAACAUUAUAGCCAAAAAUUAAAAUGUGAAUUCUUCGACCAAGUAUUAUAAAUACAUAUAACAAAGAGGAGCAUAUGGCUAAUUAUAGAUCUCAUAAGGUCCAAAACUGAACCAACAUAUAUAUAUAUAUAAAAUAUAAGCAUCAUUCUCUUUUUAUCACUGUUGGGGCAGAACCACCGGUCUCCGGCGGCGGCUGAUGAGCUGACAUCUGCCCACCGUGAAGAAACUCACGUGCAAUAGCUUGGAACUCGCCGCCUCCUCCGAUACUGGACGAUUGCGAGACACCGAAGAGAUGAUCCGACGGUCGAGGUUGUUGCUGCAUGGGCCACGUGGAUGACAUCGGCUCAAAGAUUGGGGAGAGGUCGUACAUCGACGGUGUUAUUGUGGGCAGGUCUGAUAUGGAAAGAGGCGGCAGAGAUCCAGAAGACGUCACCGUGGCCGGCGGUGGCUGUGGCAGCUCUAGAGUUGCUAAAUGUGCUUGUACAUAUGAAAGCUCAUUUUGCAAACUCACCACCUGUUUUUUUUUAGACAAAAUCCAUGCAAAUGCUUAAAAAUUAAUACCAAGAAAAUAUUAAAGAGAUGUAAUAAUCUAAAUAUUGAUACUUUCAGCAAUAAAUGAUUACAUGAGUUUCCCAAUUCUCGAGCAAAUGUUGAUUCACUUAUGCCCAAAACACACGACAUGACUAAUUGCUUGCUUGUAACAUUUAAAAUACCCUUCACUAAUAUCAGUUUAUUGGAUGCAAUUGCACAAAUAUUCGAGUAUGUAACAAGCAUACUUUAUUUGAUCAAAGCAAUUGAUAUAUUUAUAUAUUGAAAAGACGCUUAGAAAUAAGCGUACAACUACGUGUUUUUGCGAACAGAGAAAGACAUCUCUUCUCAAUCAGUGGCUUGGAUUAACUUAGAAAACAUCUUUGUAAACAUUUAUUUAUAAAAAGUAAUACAACGUAUGCUCAAUGUGCUAAUUAAAUUAAAUUCAGAGAGAGAGAGGCCUUCAACUGUUCUGUAACGCAUUAGAUCAUGUCAUACAAGUAAGUAUGCAUACACUUUAUUACUAAACUAGUUGAUGGCGGACUAAUAUAUCCCAAUCAAUUGUAACUUUAACAUACUUUUUUAUUUUAAUCUAAAUUAAUUUAUUAGUUUCAAGUAUUAAAUUUAAUAUCUAAUCUAUAUAAUGUAAUUUUUUUUAUUACAACACAACUUAAUAAUGGCUUGGUAAUUAACUUGCAAAAUCUUUUAUCUAUUUUAUUAUCAAACCACAAAUGUAAAAAGCAUUAUCAUUGUAACAACAUAAUAAAGUUUUAUGAACACUUUAAAAUAACAUAAGAGAUAUAUCUACAAAAUAAACUAUAAUUACAAAUAAAGCGUAUGAAAGCAAACUCCUCUUCAUCAAAUAAUAUUAUAGAUGAUUGAACAUUUUUCCUUUUUCGAUGAUUCCUACUAACAUUAGUUUAAUUACAUUUUAUCGGAAUUUCUGUUUCAUCCGAGUUUAUAGUAGCACUUAUUAAAAAAAUAUACAAUAACUAAAAAAAUCUUUCUAUUCAACUAAAACCUAAUAAACUAAUGGUAAUAAAUUAUAUAUGUUUAGUAAAAGCUAGAUUUUUAAUUAUAACGAUAAGAUAUUAUAUUCUUUGGAGUCAUAGUUUUUUAUUGGUAAUCUGAUAUUAACGAAACUCAUAACACUACUCUUCCGUGACAUAAACUAAAAAUAUGUCAAAUAAGCAUAAUUAAUAAAAACAUGACCAAUGAAAACACAAGACGAUUAAUUAUGCUUAUUUGACAUAUUUUUAUUUUAUGUCACAGAAGAGUAGUGUUAUGAGAUUAGUUAACAUCAAGUUAACAAUCAAAAGCUAUGAAUCCAAACAAUCUAAUAUCUUGUCGUUAUAAUUAAAAAUCCAGCUUUUACGAGACAUAUAUAAUUUAUUAUUUCUAGUUUAAAAGGUUUUAGUUAAAUAGAAGUAUUUUUAAUUAUUGUAUAUUUUAUUAACAGAUAUCACUAUAAACUCGGAUGAAGAGGAAAUUUAAAUAAAAUGAAAUUAAACUAAUGUUCGUAGGAAUCAUCGAAAAAGGAAAAAUGUUCAAUCAUCUAUAAUAUUAUUUGAUGAAGAUUAUGAUUAAGGCUAGGAAUGCAAUUAUAAAUUAAUUAUUUUUAUUUUUCUCUGUAGAUUAUCAUGCUGAUAAUCGUAAGUCCUUAUUACUAAAACAAAAAAAAAGGACCACGAAUGAGAACAAAUCGCAGCUAAAACACAAGACGAUUUUUUUCGUCAAUGCUUAAGAGAGAGUACUUUGCAUGAGCUUGGGUAAAUGGGUAGAAACGAAAGCAAAGGAAGAGAGAAAUAUCAACAAUUUUCUUUUGUUAUAAAAAAAAGAAAAGGAAACUGGUAAGAUAACUGAUGAAUGUCACGACCUACAGACAGUAUAUUGACUUAAAAUUCUUGCGAUUUCCCAUCAUACUAUAUGAUAGUAAUAAGUUAUAGUAUUAAUAGAAUAAUUGUUUAUUUAAUAGUAUUAAUGGAAAAAUUAAAUUACCUGUUGCUGAAGAGAGACGAUGUGGGAGACGCAGCCGUAGAUAGGGUCUCGGAGACGAGACUGAGCCUCGAAACAGAUUGAAACGACAGCGUCUGCCCGUUUAUGCUCGGGAAUAUGGUGGAGGAGUUUUGAAACGUUGCUCGCUCCGAACACCUUAUGAACCGCCGCGAAGUGCGCCGCUCCUUGAUCGGAGUCGAAAUAGGGUGCGAAUAUGCAGCCGGGAACGCACUUCCGUCUCAAGAACUUACAGGCGCCACACGGUCCACCUCCACCGCUGCUGCUAGGGCUUCCGCUACUGCUCAUCUUCCUGAUUAGGGUUUUGAGAGAUAUAUAUGGAGCUAAUUCAACCAGGUUAGGUUGAUUAGCAGGAAAAAUUGGGAACGUUUGGGAGAGAAAGAGAGGAGUCGGACGUAAACAAAACUAGGGCUUGGUUGGUGCUUAUUGGAAACUUUUUAUUUCCCCCAAUAAUACAUUAAUUAAUUGUAGUAUCUAAUAGUAUUUAAUAAAUAAAUAAGCAUAAUAAAUUAAUUUUUUUUUUAACACUGUAUAUAUUAUGCUAUUACAAACUCGGAAAAAUAUUACAGACGGUUUUACUGCCGACAAUUCUACCUGCUUUAUGAAGAUUCACGUCUGACUGCAUCAUCUAAGCCGUCCUAUCGGAUCCACCUUUGACGGUACUUCUUGCAUCAUGCUGCAAAUCUCUUGUAAGUUGUUUUCGCAUAAUUCUGCUUUUUCCAGGAAUCGAAACCCAGACCUGCUGGUGUAAAAGCAUUAAUGAACCCUUGGUCAAACCACUGGACAACGGGGUUUCCAAAAUAAAUUAACUUGUAGGAACCCGAAUUGAGGUGAUGUCAAAAUGACAAACUUAGAUAAAAUAAUAAGAUAAUAACUUUUUGAAAAAAAAUUAUGUAAAUAUAUGGUCCCAAUGUAAACAUAAAUUAAUAUAAACUUUUUAUAAAUAUAAAAAUAUAUUGUAUAGUUUGUAUAUGUAAAAUUUAAUUAAUAUAUAUACAGUAAAAUCAAAUAUUUUUCUUAUUUUCACAUGCAAAUAUAGAAGAGAAUUUUUUUGUAAAUUAAUAAAUAAUUAAAGAUCCAACACUACUAAUUUAUAGAAUUUUACUGUACUACUAGCAGUUAAGAAAACCAAUGCUGUCAAAAGUAUAAAUCAUUUAUACUUUUCUUUUAAAAUAUCAUUUAAUUAGUUGUACUAUUACCAAAAAACUUAGACGGUUAAGACAAGAUGGAAAAAAAAAUUUCUUUAAAGCCACGCGAUCAAUCGUACUUGUCUCGUAUUAAGCUCUUUGCGUGAAGCAAAACAUUCCAUAUCUCUUAACUUCUUCAUUGUCAUUCCCUUCCUUUUUUUUCUACUUCUGGUUUAAAUUUAUUUUUGUUACAAUUAGUCCACACAGAUGCAUCUUUACUUAUAUAAAAAUGUAUAGAUGCAGGCUCAAUCUAAUAAAACUAGACUUUAGAUUUACAAAGUAACAGUUAUUUAAAAAUGACCUUACAACUAAUCAUAAAUUUUUAAUAGUUUUUUGGUGAUUUUAAUUUGAUAUUUUGUCAAAAAAAAAAAUAAAAUAUCUAAAACGGUCUAAUUAACUAGACUCAGCGAUAUUUUUUUUCAAAAAUCAAAAUGUAACGGUUCGUUUAUGCUCGGGAAUAUGGUGGAGGAGUUUUGAAACGUUGCUCGCUCCGAACACCUUAUGAACCGCCGCGAAGUGCGCCGCUCCUUGAUCAGAGUCGAAAUAGGGUGCGAAUAUGCAGCCGGGAACGCACUUCCGUCUCAAGAACUUACAGGCGCCACACGGUCCACCUCCACCGCUGCUGCUAGGGCUUCCGCUACUGCUCAUCUUCCUGAUUAGGGUUUUGAGAGAUAUAUAUGGAGCUAAUUCAACCAGGUUAGGAUGAUUUUUGUCUCGUGAUUAGCAGGAAAAAAUUGGGAACGUUUGGGAGAGAAGGAGAGGAGUCGGACGUAAACAAAACUAGGGCUUGGCUUGGUUGGUGCUUAUUGGAAACUUUUUAUUUCCCCCAAUAAUACAUUAAUUAAUUGUAGUAUCUUAUAGUAUUUAAUAAAUAAAUAAGCAUAAUAAUAAAUUAACAAAUUUUAGCAACCCGAAUUGAGGUGAUGUAAAAUAUGACAAAAUUAGAUAAAAUAAUAAGAUAAUAACUUUUUGAAAAAAAAUUAUGUAAAUAUAUAUAUGGUCCCAAUGUAAACAUAAAUUAAUAUAAACUUUUUAUAAAUAUAAAAAUAUAUUGUAUAGUUUGUAUAUGUAAAAUUUAAUUAAUAUAUAUACAGUAAAAUCAAAUAUUUUUCUUAUUUUCACAUGCAAAUAUAGAAGAGAAUUUUUUUGUAAAUUAAUAAAUAAUUAAAGAUCCAACACUACUAAUUUAUAGAAUUUUACUGUACUACUAGCAGUUAAGAAAACCAAUGCUGUCAAAAGUAUAAAUCAUUUAUACUUUUCUUUUAAAAUAUCAUUUAAUUAGUUGUACUAUUACCAAAAAACUUAGACGGUUAAGACAAGAUGGAAAAAAAAAUUUCUUUAAAGCCACGCGAUCAAUCGUACUUGUCUCGUAUUAAGCUCUUUGCGUGAAGCAAAACAUUCCAUAUCUCUUAACUUCUUCAUUGUCAUUCCCUUCCUUUUUUUUCUACUUCUGGUUUAAAUUUAUUUUUGUUACAAUUAGUCCACACAGAUGCAUCUUUACUUAUAUAAAAAUGUAUAGAUGCAGGCUCAAUCUAAUAAAACUAGACUUUAGAUUUACAAAGUAACAGUUAUUUAAAAAUGACCUUACAACUAAUCAUAAAUUUUUAAUAGUUUUUUGGUGAUUUUAAUUUGAUAUUUUGUCAAAAAAAAAAAUAAAAUAUCUAAAACGGUCUAAUUAACUAGACUCAGCGAUAUUUUUUUUCAAAAAUCAAAAUGUAACGGUUCGGUCGAACGUUAUAUAAGUUUUAUUUUAUAAAAUAGAUAUCGCGCAACGUGUUUAAAAAGUUUAAACAGAUUUUGUUUCCGUUCGGAUCCUCUUUAAAGCAAUACAGUUUUUUUUAAAAAAAAUUAUUACUUAAUUUAUUGUUUAUAUAAUUCAAACAUGCACAUUAUUCAAUUUGAAUCCAAUAUAUAGAGGACAAACUAGCCAAUGUAAUACAAAGUCAAACUAUCUAUUUGGUUGUGAAUCCAACAGUAAUGUACUAAACUUGUGUAAAUUAUUAUAGAUAUAGAGGGGAAUAUAUAUUUUGCCAAAACUUAAUUUUAUGUACAUAUAUACAGUCGGGAGUGAAGAAGAUAUGCUCAACAUUAUAAGUACAAAGAGUGAACGGGAUAAAAUUGAUAUGCGAUAAUAUGGUUUCUCAAUAUUUCAUUAGGUUACUGUAAAAAAAAUCGAUUAGGAUAUAACAAAAAUAGGGAAAUCCAAUUACACUGAAUUUCAUAUUCAUGUGCUUUUAGAACUUGUAAAAUUACAAGAUUUGUGGAACAUUCCUCCACAAAAAUAAUUUCCGAAUCAAAUAUUACAGCACUAUAAAUCUGGUGACGGCCAAAGUAAUCAGAGUACACGAGUAUGUACAUGAAAUAAAUAAAUAAAUAUAUAUAUCACUUUUUCCUUUUUGAUAAAUAUGUGAAUUUCAUUAAAAUGAAGCUAAUUUGUACAAACAAAAAGUUAUGCAGUCAAGCCAAAUGAUGCCAAAAAAAGUUAAAAAAACACCAAAAAACUUCGAAAUUGGGAUUAUACAUCACCAAUUAACAUUUCAAGAAUGCUUUAGCCAAACUUGCAUGAGACCUCUGAAUUUCCUUCGCUCUUCCUUCGCAACGGUUCUUGCGACGGUCCAAUAUCACAUCAUAUUGUGACGGUCCAAUAACCAAGUUGUAGCAAGCCUGUCCAGCUAAACUCUUCCACUUCCGCUAACGGGUUUAACGAGGUUUUAGGAGACAUAUAAUUGCAAUGUCAAAAUGGUUCAGUGGAACUGGUUAAUCGACUGAUCGAAAACGUAACUGCUCUGUGCAACUUUGCUGACGCAACCACUCGCACCUUGGGAGUAUGCAAUUCACGACGAAUAUGAUAAUGUAACGUCCCAAAAUUUUUUUUUUCAAAAAUGUUACAAAAUGAUGGAAGAUGAAAAAUAGAAAAGGUAAAGGAUGCAACGGAUAAUUUUUUUUUGAUAUUCAAGUCGAAAAUGUUAGCUUUUGGAGCUAACUAUACUGGAAUCAGAGUCAUGAGAAAACAAAAGCUUUGUGAGCGAACAUAUUUGCAAGGAAGUCAGUCCUUAUAUUAAAGAAAUAGAAAAAGACAGAUAUGAUGAUAAAUGAUAAUUAGAAGAAAGAGUAACAACUUUAGGGCCCAAAUUCUUCGUUUCUCGUAUGUGUUAAUUGUGUGGCAUAGUGUCUAAUUUUUGUUUAAAGCCUUAUUUUAAGUUAGCACUUAGAGUUAUGAUAUCAAAUAGACAGAUAAUACCAUUUGUAGUAGUUCUCCAACGGUGGUGGUUUUAUAUUAGUCGUUUGAUGAUGAUGCAAUUUGUUUAUAACGAGGAAGUUGUUAUUGGAACAGUCGCUAACACUUUUGAGAGUCAUAUAUUUAUUUACCAUUAGAUAUCCUAUAAUGUAUGUAAGGAAAUAUUAUUUAUCGAGAAAUGCAAUGUGUGUAUAUUUCUUGUGUAGACAAUUAAUUUAAGUACUAUUUGGAAACAUAAAUGGAAUGACUGAUAGGUGGACGAUAAAAUUAAAACUCUAGAAAGUGUGUAUAUUCACUGUUUCUAUUUGCUUAAAACUUUAUGCUUGAACAUUUGCACCAUUUAAAUGAUUUUGGUGGGAGAUGUCGAAAGUUAAUAGAGCAAGGAAUUGGAUAUUGAGAGUUUUGAUUUACCAAGGUGGCAUAUUUGACCAAUUGGAUUUCGCUACUGAACCCGAAACUUUUACAUGAGAAGAUUUGAUAUGUUCUCCAUGUUUGAUAUUUUUUUUAGUAUUCAAGAAUAAAAGAUUCAAAAGAUUGGCUAUGUUCUCUAUGUCUGGAAAUUAGAUUCUAUAUUUAAAACAAAAGCACUAAUAAACACUUGAUCAUCCACUAAAUCUAAAUAUGCAGUAUGUAAUAAGUCUUCCCCAUUUAUGUUGAAAAGAUAACAAAAUAAGUACACAGCAAGUGAAAGAGUGCAAUUGUAGAAAAUGUUCUGGCUAACCAACUCCAGAUUCGAUUCCUCAAAUGGAAUUAGUAUCAAAAGAUGAAGUCGACUGAAAAAAUAUCAAUACAAUACUAAAAGGGAUAUAUAAUCCAUGGGGAAGGUGUCCACGUCAUCACAAAAAAUUGACCAAUCAGAGACAAGUGUUUUAACACGUCAUACAACUACAGAGAGAAUCAUAAUAUACGACGCAUCAAUCGGGUUCCACUUCGUCUUCACCAUCUAGGUUCUUCGUGAUGUCCGUUACGGUGAGCUCAAUCAAUGGUGCUCUUUGAUUCCUUCUUUAUAGUUUCGUUCCACCUCCCUCUUUUUAUCCUCAUAUAUAUCGAUUGCUCAACAUCUUCGUCUAAACUUACUUGCAAGCAAACCCGAAAACCUCCAGUGAAGAAUCGAAAGCUCUGGCAAUAAAAUCCAAUCGAAAGUCUCAUCUCUCCACCGGCAAGUCUCUGUCGCUUUGUAUUUCAAGGAUAUCUCACCAUGUCCACCAGAAUACGAAUUAGGAUUUCGAAUCUAAAGUUAAGGCGAUGAUCAAUUUCUUUUUUUUCUUCAAUGGUGUUGAUAACCCAAUCAAAGGGCGUCGCCUUUUAGUUUUGAUGUUGAUUCAUUUGAUCCAGUCUUACGGGUUCUUACAAUUUUUUGUUUUGUUUCGAUUAGGUUGAAGUGCGGUAGCGAUUGCUGUAAGGUGUGAAGAUAAGAUGGCUCUCUGAAUGAAAACAUGAAGAAGUGUCAGUAUGCCGUAAGUGGUAAGCUCCAGAAAGAAGGCAAAAAGGUAUACACUUUUGGAUCAUCUUGUGCCUUUACAUGUUGGCUUUACUCAAGAAAAAGAGACUGUAAGUAUUGUAUAUAUAAAAUAACUUACGAACUUUGAACGUAUUGAACUUAGAAUAAAUACUUUCGCCUCUUAAGUUUUGAAUAAAUACUGGUUCUGAAAAGGAUUAAGAUUUGUCUAUCAACUGCAUCAGAUUUUGUACCCUUUUUACUUUUCUAAAAGCUAAGCCCAGCUCAGAAGGAUGGAAUCAUCGAGUGGAGGAAGAUGAGUGUCUUUCAGAGAAUCAGUGGGGGUUCGUGGGCUGUUCCAAGUUUCCAAAUAGUAAGCUGUAAGCAUAAACUCUUAAACUGCAAAGCGCUUUGGAUGGGGAAGGCCAGCUUUACGUACCGCUUCUGAUAUCGCCAGGUUCUCUACGUACAAAGGAUUCAGGAGAGGUGUGUUUAAAGUCAUCUUAUUUUACGCACUUUUUAGUUUGCUAUGUUGACUUUCCCUAUCUAUGUAGCAGAUUGGUAGAAUACCUACUUAGUGGGCUCGGUGUCUUCUACCGCAUGUGAGAGACAAGAAGGUUAGGCUAGAAGGGAGAUGCAAGUCGACGCCUGAAGCAUUAGGCAUUACAUAAUGAUUCUUCUUUCAGUAAGGUAUACAUUACAAACUAUUGCGUUUGGAUUGAUUCUUCCGGGAUAGCUGCUUAGUUUUGAAAUGGUUUGUUUUUAUGCAGUGUGUACAUUAAUAGUUCCAUGUUUCAAAAGCAUAGUAUGACUUCACUUAGGGUAGCCAGUACUCCGGCGGAUGAAUAAAUGUUUUAUCCUCUCCCACACUCCUUGCGGUUGCUCGGUUUGACACCCUUUAAACAGGUAAUGGAUUGUCCAUUACUGUAACUCUAAGAUUUUCUGAAUGUUUGACAGGUUGCAGUUUGCAAUUCCUAUAUACUUACAUAUUUUGUUGUGAUUGCAAAUUUUUGAGAUGGUGAAUUAGAAUUAUUACAGUUCAAAAGGAUCCACUUAUUUAACAAGAAACAUGAGAAGGUCGGCCAUAGUCCGUAGAAUAAAAGAUAAGUUACAAAAUACAUUUGACUUAUAAGAAUAGAGAAACAUGACAUGUCAUGUAAUUCAACUGACGUACUCUUUAGACCUGAAUAUGUUCAAUAAAUAUUACAAGGAUGUUGUAUAGCUUGGGAGGAAGAGGAGAGAAACAUGAUGUCUUCUGCUGGCUAAGAUUAUGAACAUUGAUAAUCUUUAUUAGAUGCUUAUUUCUUGGAAAAUGUUUUAAAAGAUGUUUUAAUAUAGGUAAAUACUUAUUGCUGGAUCAUGUUUAGAAGUAUAUAUAAGUCUUCCGAGAGAAAAUUACAUUUACAAUUUCACUGUUGUUUUACUGUCAUGAGAUAACUUUUAUGACAAUUGUAUGCAUAUAAUUAAAAUCGCACAACUUCUUUAUGUUUUCCAAUCCUUGAAUAACAAACAAAACAUUAAGAUAAAACAUAUUUGCAAGAAAAAAAUCAAGAUACAAUAUUGUUUCUUCUUAUGGUUCGUUCCGUAGAUAUCUCUUGCUGUGGUUUUAGCCAUGUUUGUGUCUUUAUUUUCUUCAGAUCAUUUUUUUUUGUUGGAUCCAGAAUCAAGGUAGUUUUUCAAUGUGUUUAAAUUAUAAACAAGAGAGAUGUGAAGUAUUUUAAAAUUGUGUACACCUGGAAAUAUAAUAAAAGAUAGGAAUACCAUGAUCAAGAAGCUAAUGAGAAAUGUUUCGAACAAAUAAGUGGAGCAUUAAGCCCAAAAAAAGUGGAACGACAAAGGUUAAGCUUAGUUUGACAAUUAAUCAAUAAAGAGUAAAGAUUGAGAGAUGAAUUAUCUAUUGAAAAACACAAACAAAUAAACUAAAAUAAAAAAAACAAUAGCUAAAUAAAAUAUAAAACGUAAAGAAACCCCACCACUUGAUAUAUGAACUAAACGAGCUAAAAGAAGCAAUGCAAUUUUUUUUUGGCCCACCACUUGAUAUUCUGGACACAUCAGCUAUACUGUUAAAGAAAUCAUGAUCUUUUUUUUUGUGCACAAAUACUUCAUGAAUUAAACUUAAGUUGGGUUUCUUACAGGGUCUCUGAAAGCCUGUUUAGCCAAAUUGUCCUCAACACAGAGAUAAUAAUUAUGAUUGUUCAUCAACUUUACCAAGCUAGAAAAUCACAUUGAAAUACUACCGAAGCAUGACCUCUGAAAUAAUAGUUGUACUAUAGCAAGUCGUGCAAGUGCUUCAGUCUCUAAUGCAAAAGAUGCCAUCCUCAAACACGAACUGCUCCAAAUGAUUCACCAUUCAUAUUACAAACCAUCAAUCCAGAUUUGACCGUACCCUCCACAAAUUUCUUAUAAAAUUUUAAAAGUAUUACAAUACAUCUAACUGUUAAGAACCCCGCGCUUGCACGAAGCUCCGCCUCUAAAAUAUCUAAAGAUAUAUCUUUUCAUUAAUUUUAUUUAUCAUGCAUUUCAAUAGUCCAAAUAAAUAUCUAAAUAUUUACCUUUUCAUAUAUAUCUUUUUUGAUCUAUGAAUGUGUCUUUUUCUUAUUUGUUCAAUUUUUAUAUAUUAUCAUUUUAUAUACUAUAAUUUUUAAGCAAUCUAGAAAAUAGCCUCUACUACUUAAUCAACCAGCUUUCACAAAUUAAUUUUAAUGAAAAUGCAAUAUGUAUUACCGAAAUAACUCAAAUCUACGUUUUAGAAUAUAACGUAUCCUUUAUCAUUUAUAAAGAUUCAUUGCAAACUAUAACUAUGUUUUUUUCCAAAUCUAAGCAUUCUAAUGACACAUUGGAGAUGGUCUAAGGUAUUGCCGACGUAAAUGAUCCAUGUUGAGAUUUCAGCAUUUCUGAUUCUUACUAUUCUAAUGUUUCAAUAUAUUUUGAAUAUUCCCUUUGUUUUAUAAUAUAAUAGUUUAAAAGUAUUUUUUGUUUCACAAUAUAAAUUGUUUUUAUAUUUCAAUGUAACUUUAUAUUUAUUGAAUAUUGUAUGGCCAAUUAAAUUAUGUAAAUUACUGUGUAAUUGAUUAAAUUUAUAUAUUAAAUGAUCUUUCUAAAGUAAUAACUUUUAAAUAUUACAGAUUUUAAUUAAAAUUGAUUAUAUUUUGAAACAGAUAGAGUAAUCUAUAAACUAACUUUAUAUAGAUAUGAGGACAAAAUUGUAAAGUGAUCUCACCUUAAAUUUAUUUCAUUAUGUGCAUUCCUAAUUGGAAUGAGAUAAUCAACAUCUAAUAUUAUGUUACUCUUAGUAUAUUAGAAAUGGUCGAACCGUAAACCAUUUAAGGAUUUUAUAAGGAAGACAUAAAGAUGUAUUUCCAGUUAUCACAAAUAUAGAAUAAAUUGACAACAACUUAAUUAUGUCCAGCGUAGGAAACAAAGAAGAGUUUUCAUACUUUCUAAUAUUAUAAUAUAUCACUAUAUUAGUUGUUAAAUCAGUUUUUUCUAGCACAAAUACUCACUCCAUUCUUGGAGUUUAAGUUUUUCUAUCUGAUGAUAUUAGUAGUUUGAUCCCAAAAAAAAAACGUUCGAUGUGUACAUUGUAAUUGGAGAAAGAAAAACAAACAAAAAUCAACCGAAAACUUUUAAGGUAUAUGAAACAAAAAUUAAAAAUAUCAAUUCUCUGCAAUUAAAGAAUAAGACAAUACAAUUGUAAGAAUACAAAAUAAAACAAAAAAUAUACACAAAAAGAAAGAUUUAGUAAAAUAAAAUCAUAAUAUAAUUUCCAUAAUUGAUAGUGCUCAGUUACACUAAAAAAUCUCUCGAAUCGUACACCUAUCGGCCUCCUACUUUGUUUGUUUUUCAAGUCUUCUCUAAUCUCUACGAUCGAACCUCGAAUCUAUCGGAACUCACCUCAGUCACUAUUUUUUUUUUUUAAUUAGUGUAUGUUUAAUUAGUUUUAGUCACCCUUCUUUGUCAUCUAUUUGUCUGGUGCACUUAACCAGUCAACCUGUACCUAUUACAUAGUUAUAAUCUGGUUUUGGCUAUAGUAUUAGAAAGACUUCAGAGAAAUAUGAUAUACAACAAUACAUAGAAUACAUCAUACAUGUAUGAUGUAUCUAUAAAACUCGUGUAACUAGAGAAAUAUUGUGAGCAGGACAUGUGCAAGUGGAGCAGUAGAGUAGAGUUCGAAUCUAAAAAAAUUAAAAAUCUAGAAUUUUUUAAAAAUAAAUAUAUAAACUAUGGUUUAAAACUUCAAAUUUUUAUAUAUAAUAUUAAUAUAAUAUUAAUUUAGAAUUUAUAAAUUUAAAAGAGACGUCAAAUAUAUAUAAAUAGAGCUAUAAACUUUUAAACUUACUCUAUUGUAUCACUAAAUACUGUUAAAUUUUUUUUGAACAGAGCCCAUUGAUAAUUUGAGACGGUACUGCUUGUGAGAUUUCUAUUUGGUGUCGUAGAAGAACAACAGACCUUUUUUUUUUGGGGGGAACAACCAAGAACAAGUGAACAACAGACCCAUAUUAAUAGGAAAGCAGAAAAAGAUGACCAAACUUGUCCGUCUUUUCAACGUUUCAAUUAGAUCCCGUCUUGUGUCUAAAUUGACGGAGUUCCAAAUUGAACAACUACUGAGAAACCAACAUUACACAACAUUUUUUUGGAAAAGUAAAUACAAUUUUUCUUAUUUCCUCUCAUCGCCAAAUAUAAAUAUUGGGUUUCUAUUACAAUAUCGUUUAUUUAUUUGUUAGUAAAUAGAAUUUUAGGUCUGUAAUCCCUUCACAACCUCGAGGUAACAUGUUAGUAAUGUGCUCCCUUCCUCAUCAGCGAGAUUCGAAUAUGAGAUCUUGAGACGUAGUUCCCUUGAAAGGUUUCCUAGUACCUCAGCAGAGCUACUAAUGCUAUAUUUUUUAAUGUGAAGUAUGUUACACUGUUUACAACAAAUAAAUCUACCAAUAAGCAUGUGAUAAGAUAAACCGCAGAAUAUGAAACCAAGAUGACUCCACAGUAAGACAUGUGCAGAAUAUGAAACCAAGAUGACUCCACAAUAAGACAUGUUUAGAUGUUUCUAUUAGAAAUCUUCUCACAUCGAAAUUGUAAAUUAAUAUCAUAUAUAAAGACUAAAAAACAUGUGUUGUUAUUUCAGUCUUUGUUAAUUAACUUUGAAUUGUAAAUCCAUAAACCUGACAAACAUAAUACUAUAGAAUUCAACCUCGCCAUUACAGUUAACGAUGUGAACCACUGAGAUCAUGAGAUGAUAGUCCUGCUACAUCUGACAUCUCUCUUAUCAUAACAAUUUGGAUAAAGAGAGUAGCCUGAUGGGUUAAUCCAAGAUUGUCAUAUGAAACCGUAACGAUACCAUGAUGCUUGCAGCGCUAAGCCCAGCCCAUAUUGCUGUACAAUACCAUUAGAAUUCAACUAUCCACGAAACACCUAAACGGUGUAUAGGGCUUGGCACGAAGCGAGUACUCGUUAUUUCGUGUGUACUUCCGACUUGACUUACUUUGUAUGAGUAAUAAAAUUUUCGAUUUGUAUUUAACUUGUUAAAAACGAGUACUUGCUAUUUCGAAUACUUGAUCAAAAAUGAAUUAUUUGUAAGUUACUUGACCCGCUAUGUUACUUACUAUUUAUGAGUACUUGUAAACUAUUUACGAGUUUUUUAGAAUUUUUAAAAACUACUUACUAAAUAAUAAUUAUUAGGAAUAGACUUGAAAAUUUGUUUUAUUUAUUCUACUUAACAUAACAUCUUAAUUACUUUAAGCGAAAUAUUUGUUCAUAUUAUAAAAAACACAAAAAAAUAUGAAUAUAUCGAUAUAUAAACAUUGUAUAAUUUUUAUGAUGACAAAAAUGUUUUCUCUAAACAAGUAACAAGUAGUAACAAGUCAUAUAGUUAAAUUUUUAAUACUUGUUACUAUAUAAUACUUAACUAGAUGACGACGAAGAUUUAUAAAUCAAGACAUAUACGAAAUAAGUAUAUUUAUAAUUAGAUUGUACAUAUAUAUAUUUUGCCUUGAUCAAUAAAUUUGAAAUUUCAUCAAAAAAAAUAAAAUAAGUAGUAAGUAUAAAAAGAGUAAUGAAUAUUUGUGUCCAAUCCUAAAUGCAAGUAAAAGAAAAAACAAAUAUAAACAAGUAUUUAAUAGAUCAUAUAAAUAGUAAGUACUAGGGCAAGUAACAUGGCGUAAUGAGUCAAGUAAUAAAAAUAAUAAUGAUACUUGAUAUUUGACUUAGGGUCUGACUGGUGACCAUUCGGGAAACAAGAUGAACAGAUUAAAAAGGAAUGUUCGGGAAUAAAAUAGGAGGAAUGAAAAUGAAUGAUCGUUCUUUAUCACUUUUAACAAGGAAUACUUUUGUUCUUUAAUUCUCUACAAAAAAAGUAAUGAAAGGGAAUGAGAGAGAAUUAUUAUUCUUUGUGAAUGGUGAUUUUUUUCAGAAACGUUAGGGAAUACAUUAUUCCUCGUCGUUCCCUGGUCACCAUUCAUACUCUUAGUUUUGUAAGUAAUAAAAAUUGCGGACUUGUUACUUACCUUGAUAACAUUGAAUACUUCAAUUUUUAAGGCGGAUUUAAGGCGAGUAACAAGUAAUGACGGGCAGCCUACCAGUAUAAAGUGCGAUUUUGAGUAUCAUAGUAUAAGGUAAUGUGCAACUGAUUAAUUAAUUACUAGAUUUUACUGAGAAAUCCUUUGCAAGGUCCCACAAAAAGAUAUAGAAUAGGGCGGCCAUCCACUUGAUUUGAAAGAGACUGUAGUGGAAUCCAACCAUAUGUCACAAAGAUCCAAGAUAAUAUAUGAACUAUUUUUCAAAUUAUGAUAAUGAUCAAUACUAUUUUCUUCAACACUUCAUUAUCAUUCUUAAGAGUAGUUAUUUAUGCAUGUGCAUGAUUAUACGAAAAAGAACCGACAAUUUACUCCGCAAGACAUUUAUACGGUACAUUGUCAUUCCCUUCCUUUUAUUAUUUCCUUCAACAAACUAUAAUCGAAAUGAACGAUUCUGUGUUAUACAAAGAUCGAGUUUAUUGAGAAAACAACUUGUUAUCUAAUGGUUGGUCACUUGGUCCUAAAUAUGAUUUCCUCAUCUCCACCAAAACCAAAGCUCAAACUGUAAAUAUCAGUGAUCGUGCAUGUGAAUGAGUGAGAAAGCUAUUAAAGAGUUAUUUGAUUUAGUAGUCACUAACUUCUAAAAGAAAUUGGCCACCGUUAUGACUCGGGACACUAUCACUCCAGCUGAGCUUAGGAAACAUGAUUGAAAAUAUAAAGAGAAUUGGUUGGAGUGGGACCAAUGAAAGAAGUAUCAUUAUUAGACGAGAAGAAAAAGACAGAAUUGUUAGAGAAAUGUCAAAAAAGUACAGUAACAAACAACAAAAAAAGGCCCAAUCAAUGCUCUACUUUCAUUAAAGCUUUAGUUUUUAGGUAAGGAAUGUAGAAUGUGUGUGUGAGAUUGUAAGGUAGAGAGAAAGUGAUAAGUGAGAGAGAGAGAGAGAGAGAGAGAAAUGAAGUUCUUGUUCCAGUGUCCAUGCUGCUCUUGCUUCUGCUUCAUGAAACCAAAGCAGGGCAAACCAAAAGCUGUAGAUUCAAAACCAAAGGAAGAGAAGAAAAAAGAGGAGAAGAAACCUGAGAAGAAAGAAGAAAAGAAAGAAGAAAAGAAAGAAGAGAAGAAAGAAACCAAAGCUGAGAAGGCCGAGUGAGAGCUCUAUUUCAAGAAAACGCAAUUAAUUAUCCCAUUUUAUUUCUGUUUCUAUUUCUAUGCUAUGUUAUGGAUGCUUAAGUAACUUGUAACAUUUCUUGAUUAAUAAAAUUUUCUAUUUUGCCAAUAUGGUUUGUCUCUAUUUUAUCAAUGCUGCUUGUUUAAUAUGUACUAUUCUGAAUUUGUGAAAGAAAACUAUGAUUAUUGUUUCGACGUGAUUGUCCUUUAGUUUUAUAAAACCCCACUUAUGAUUAGAUAUUGACGGUUUGAGUUUAUACGAUUGAUGAUUCAUAUUGGAUUUCUUAUUCCCAGUUUCGGAUUUGAUUCUUUUUGUUGUAACAAGUAUAUGAAUGAAAACUAUUAACCAAAUCAAAUCUGAGUCUAACUCGUAUAGGUGCAUGCAAUAAUUGAUUAGAACAGAAGCCCAUUUCAAUGAAAUCAAACUCAAGCUCAUGUAAACUAAUUUCCUUAGCAAAAUAGCAUGGAAUAUAAAAAUGUUUAGUUCUCAAAGGAAAGGACAUCCAGAGCUUCUUUCUUUCUUGUUUUUUUUUCUUUGCAUUUAAAUAAAGCUUGGUGAACUAAUAAAGCUGUUAUAAUUGUUCAAUCAAUCUUGCUAACGACUUGCUUACAUAAUUCACUUCUUAUCUACAUAUGUGUUUCGAUUCAUAACUAAUAUGGUGUUGGAAAGCGAUCCAUGUAUUUGUUUCCCUACUCCUUAUACAGAAAAUUCCAAGUUAUAUAUUUUAUCAAUUACCUUAUCACCGAAAAUGAUGGUCUUUCUUAAAAGACAAAUGUUUUUGUAUUUUUCAUUAUCAAAGUGAAUUUUCUAACCAGAUUUCUUUGGCCUCAUUGAUGUUUACCUCCCAAUUCAUCAAAGCUCGAAACCAUCGUAAUUUUCGUUUCAUGCAAGUAUAUCAUAUUAGAGUUGCUCUCAUAUCUCUCAUCAUUUAAUCACUCCAUAUUUGGAUCGUGAGUACUGACUCAAAUAUGUUGAUUUGACUCUAUGCACUAAAAAUAAUCGUGCAAAGAGAUAUAAGCAUGUAAUCAUAAUAAGACUUAGCAUAUAUAUUGCAUAUGUAAUCCCCUAUAUAUUAUUUGAAUAUUAUUUGAGAAGCAUUACAACAUUUUUUUGUAGCCACAUAUCAUUACUAGAAUGAUUCUUAGAAUCCUUAGAAAAAUAGGUUGGUCCAUCUAAAUAUAUAAUACGAUUUUUAUUAAAUUAACUAUAAAUACAUUAUUAAUGUGAUGCAUUACUUCCUUAAAUAAAAUUACAGAAUUGUCUAAUGUGGCUAAAAUAUAUAUAUGACAAUUGAUUAUUUUGAAUAAUAAAGAUUUGAUAAAAAUAAGUAUGUCUUAUAUUAUAUUUGUUUAAUUUUAAACUAUUAAAAUAAAUUAAACAACCAUAGUAACCAUAUAAUAAAAAUUAAAAAUUUUCUUUAUAUGUUAUAUUUUGAAUUUUUAAAAACGAAUAUAAAUUACUAAAACUGUUAAAAGUUUCAUAUUCAAAUUUUGUGAUCCAUGGUUUAAAUUUUCUGUUAUGACAUGAUACAAAUAAUUAAAAAAUUAUAUAAGUUGAAAGUCUCAUUUAAUAAGUAUUAAAAUAAAAGAUAUAAGAAUAUAUAUAUAUAUAUAUUAAUCCCACAAUGAUAAUUUUGUUAUCAGUAAUUUAAUUUUUUUGCUAUAACAGAUACAAAUGAUAAAAAAUAUAUGAGCAAAAUGCAUUAUUUAAUAAAUAUUAAUAUUAAAAUAUAUUAUAUAUGUUACUAUAAUUUAAAUUUAAUUAUAUAAUAUAUCAAAUAAAAAAAAUAUUGUUUGGAUUAAUAAAAUUUAUUUAUAUGUUUUUACCAAUUUAAUUAUAUAAGUAAUAGUUACUGAUUUUUUAAUUAUUCAAUAUAUAUUUAUUAUUUCAUAAUAUGUUAGAAACAUAUAAUAUAUAAAAUAGUUUAUAUAUAUAAUGUUCAUUCCGCGCAAGGCGCAGAUCUUAACCUAGUUUUUUAUUAAAGAUAAAUCAAACCAGUGAUGAGAUAUAGCUGAUCAAAAUAUUGCAAACAGAGUUUUUUUCAUUAAAUCUGAAAAAAGAAAAUAGAAAAAUAGUCCAAUUUAGCAAGAGCUAAAUCAAAACCAAUAGAUAGCUAUAUUUUUUUUUUGUCAACCAAAUUGCAUUGCAUUAAAAGAUCCAAGGUUAUUAUACAUAGUUUUUAUGAGUAACUCUAGCCUGUUUUGCUAAGGCAUCCACAUGACUUGGAGAUUCUCUGGAUACAUAAUGAAAAGUAUAUGCGCAUUCCUUGAUGCGGUUCAUUUUGAGAGUUUGUACUUUGUUCAGUCCUCAACUGAUUUAACUCUUCAAUCAUAUUCUUGCAAUCAGCCAUAAAAUGCAACUUGCUUAUAAUUGAGUCUUCGUAACUGUUGCACUGCUGACAGUAAUUCAGUAAAGCUGCAGCCUCUGCUUCUCCCACUGUGUUUACUGUCUUCAGAGAGGAAGACCCUUGGAGGAGACGGUUUCCUUCUUUACUAAAGAAGGACCAACCAAUCCCUAUGAGAUCUCUCGAUGAUUUCCAUGACGCGUCACCAGACAGUAGUAAGAAGCUUCAUGAGGCACCUCCGUUUGAAUUGUAGGGUUGGGCCUGCUCACAAUUGCUCUUAGUUGGUCUUCAUUCUUUUCUUUACUAAUUGCAUCUUCAUAUAAUUUAUAGCUAUAUAAUUGUUUACAAUUUCUUCAUAAAUAUUUUGCCUAACUGUUUUGUUAUUGUUGCUACGCGCACAAAAGAAAAAAAACGCUAUUGGGCUUUUUUUUGUUCGAAAGUUAACUUGGGCUUUCCAAGAUAAUCAAAUGUUAAAAGUAGCCUCCAAUUCGGAUUCUUCAGAUUUAAAAGUCGAAACCCACUUCGGAAUUCAAGUUCAACUUAUCUAGUCACACGCUAAUGGAUAUCUUUAAUCAGAAGUAAAUAAUAAAAAUUAUGGUAAAUGAGUUUAAAUACGUUAGUCAAUUCUCACACAUAAAUGCAUUUCAAUCCAUUCUGUCAACGUUCAAAUCCAAUUAUUAUUUAUUACCUUAAACAAAAAUAUUCCUUACUAUUAAAGCAAGAAGUAAUCUGUCACAUUUUCAUUUCCCAUUUUCGUAAGAUUCGCCUCCAAGUCUUCUAAACUUCUAGCACUAUAUAUCAAUACUCAUUCCCCAGGAACCAAAGACGCACUAAAACCUAAUCUCAGAUCUCGCCGCUUCUCUUUAACCAUGGUGGCCCUCAUGAAAAGUCUCUGUUUUUCUUUCGUCGUCUUAUGAGAAGUCUCUGUUUUUCUUUCAUCGUCUUGGCUUCUAUUGCGACCCUCUUCUCAGUUGCGGAUGCACAUAAGUUUCAGGUCGGUGGUAAAGGCGAUUGGGUCGAAAAACCACAUGAGGGUUACAAUUCUUGGGCUGAAAGUAAACGUUUCAAAGUCCAUGACACAAUCCGUAAGAUCCUUUCUAUUGCUAUUAGUUUAUAUUACGAGUUUUAUUUAUAUAUAUAUAUAUGUGAUUGUGUUUGACAAAAAAAUAUUAAAAUCUUGUGUAGACUUUAAGUAUGCCAAGGGAUCAGACUCGGUGCAAGUAGUGGCGAAAGCAGAUUACGACGCAUGCAACGUUAACAAUCCGAUAGAGAAGUUUGAUAAUGGAGAAACCGAGAUUGCUCUAAACCGAUCUGGUCCUUUUUAUUUCAUCAGUGGUAAUAAAGAGCACUGUGCUAAGGGACAGAAGUUGAUAGUCUUUGUCCUCGCCAUCAGAAAUCAACCUAAGGUACCCAUUUCCCCUGCCAAAGCUCCGUCGACUGCUCAACCCCCGAAGUCUCAUUCCCCGGUAGUUGCUCCGGCGAAGGCUCCCUCAACCGCUCAUUCGCCUAAAUCUCAUUCCCCGGUCUCUCCGGUUGCACCGGCCAAAUCUCCGACAGCUCACUCCCCCGCUUCUCAUAUUUCUCCGGCGAAGGCUCCGUGGACUGUUCAACCUCCAAAAGCCCAUUCCCCUGUUUCUCCAACUGCACCGGCGAAAGCUCCAACAAUGGCUCAUUCGCCUAAGUCCUCUGUUUCCCCAUCCCCGCACCCUGUUGCUCACUCACCGGCUGUGUCUCCGUCCAAAGCUCCAGCAACGACCCCAGCUAAACAUUCUCCUUCGCCGUCCCCCACAAACUCUCCAAAAUCAUCCCCUGCUACUCCUCCAAAGGCCUCACCAUCUACCCCAGAGAAACCUCCCAAGUCUACUCCAGCUUCUCCAGCGCCUGAGAAGACUCCACCUUCGUCCCCAACUCCUUCUGACGACAACAUGGCGCCGGCGCCAAGUCCCAGUGCAGCAGCUGUUGUGACCGUUACUUCGGUUAUGUCUACCCUCUUCACUGUGGCUUUUACCGUUUCGAUGUUUGCUUAAGUUUUUUCUUUUAAGAAUGGUUAUGUGUGUUUGAUUUACAUUUCUUUAUUCUGUUGUUGCUGGGUUUUUAUUAUUUGUUCUGAGUGUGUCCUUGUGUUUGCAUUAUGAAUUAUUACUUCUGUUAUUAAUAUCGCCGUGUUUGUUCUAAAAGCAUUUCAUUCGACAUUUAGAUGUAGGAGUGGGCAAAAAAAAAUGAACCAAACUAAACCAAACCGACCCUACUAAAUCCAAACCAAAAUAUACAUCUACAUCAUUUGGUUUGAGAUUUUAUAAACUAAAUGGUUCAGUAUGGUUUGGCUUUAAACCAAACCAAACCGAAUUGUUUUUUUUCUAAGUAGAUUAAUUAAAUAUAUUAAUAAUACUGAAAUUUAAUAUAUUUAACAUUUAAUUUAAACUAGUAAACAUAAUUUUAUCCAUUUUACUUUUAAAUGAAUAAGAUACAUACAACUACAAAUAAAAUAAAGAAUAUAAAUUGUAUAGAUUAACAUCAAAAUUGAAAAAUUACCAUGUAUAUUAGGUUUGAAAAUAAUAAUAUAAAAUUAUUGGAUUACAUAAAUAAAUUUGGACACUAAAUCAAUAUUUUCUUCAUAUGAUGGCGUAAAUUUGGAGGAGGUGAAGGCAACAACUGAGCUCGUUUCAAAUUAUUUUAUUUUAUUACUCUUUGUUUUUAUGUUUAAAUUUUAAAAUCUAUGUUAAAAAUGUUAUCUUUCAAUAUGUUUUAUUUAAUAAAUUAAUUUUAUCUUUAAAAAAAAAUUUAUAAUUAUUUUGUUAAGAACUCUUAGUUAAGAAACUACCAUUGGAGGCACAAAAUCGAACAGUUUCUUAACUAGAAUCCUUAAACCCACUUAAAUACAUUUAAUUAAUUAAAUAAUUAUUAAAGAAACCCACUUGAGUUUCAUGGAUAAUCAUGCUCUAAAUGCCUCUCAAUCCUUUCUGUCAACGUUCAAAUCCAAUUAUGAUUUAUUACCUUAAACAAAAAUAUUCCUUACUAUUAAAGCAAGAAGUAAUCUGUCACAUUUUCAUUUCCCAUUUUUGUAAGAUUCGCCUCCAAGUCUCCUAAACUUCUAGCACUAUAUAACAAUACUCAUUCCCCAAGAACCAAAGACGCACAAAAACCUAAUCUCAGAUCUCGCCGCUUCUCUUUAACCAUGGUGGCCCUCAUGAGAAGUCUCUGUUUUUCUUUCAUCGUCUUGGCUUCUAUUGCGACCCUCUUCUCAGUUGCGGAUGCACAUAAGUUUCAGGUCGGUGGUAAAGGCGAUUGGGUCGAAAAACCACAUGAGGGUUACAAUUCUUGGGCUGAAAGUAAACGUUUCAAAGUCCAUGACACAAUCCGUAAGAUCCUUUCUAUUGCUAUUAGUUUAUAUUACGAGUUUUAUUUAUAUAUAUAUAUAUGUGAUUGUGUUUGACAAAAAAAUAUUAAAAUCUUGUGUAGACUUUAAGUAUGCCAAGGGAUCAGACUCGGUGCAAGUAGUGGCGAAAGCAGAUUACGACGCAUGCAACGUUAACAAUCCGAUAGAGAAGUUUGAUAAUGGAGAAACCGAGAUUGCUCUAAACCGAUCUGGUCCUUUUUAUUUCAUCAGUGGUAAUAAAGAGCACUGUGCUAAGGGACAGAAGUUGAUAGUCUUUGUCCUCGCCAUCAGAAAUCAACCUAAGGUACCCAUUUCCCCUGCCAAAGCUCCGUCGACUGCUCAACCCCCGAAGUCUCAUUCCCCGGUAGUUGCUCCGGCGAAGGCUCCCUCAACCGCUCAUUCGCCUAAAUCUCAUUCCCCGGUCUCUCCGGUUGCACCGGCCAAAUCUCCGACAGCUCACUCCCCCGCUUCUCAUAUUUCUCCGGCGAAGGCUCCGUGGACUGUUCAACCUCCAAAAGCCCAUUCCCCUGUUUCUCCAACUGCACCGGCGAAAGCUCCAACAAUGGCUCAUUCGCCUAAGUCCUCUGUUUCCCCAUCCCCGCACCCUGUUGCUCACUCACCGGCUGUGUCUCCGUCCAAAGCUCCAGCAACGACCCCAGCUAAACAUUCUCCUUCGCCGUCCCCCACAAACUCUCCAAAAUCAUCCCCUGCUACUCCUCCAAAGGCCUCACCAUCUACCCCAGAGAAACCUCCCAAGUCUACUCCAGCUUCUCCAGCGCCUGAGAAGACUCCACCUUCGUCCCCAACUCCUUCUGACGACAACAUGGCGCCGGCGCCAAGUCCCAGUGCAGCAGCUGUUGUGACCGUUACUUCGGUUAUGUCUACCCUCUUCACUGUGGCUUUUACCGUUUCGAUGUUUGCUUAAGUUUUUUCUUUUAAGAAUGGUUAUGUGUGUUUGAUUUACAUUUCUUUAUUCUGUUGUUGCUGGGUUUUUAUUAUUUGUUCUGAGUGUGUCCUUGUGUUUGCAUUAUGAAUUAUUACUUCUGUUAUUAAUAUCGCCGUGUUUGUUCUAAAAGCAUUUCAUUCGACAUUUAGAUGUAGGAGUGGGCAAAAAAAAAUGAACCAAACUAAACCAAACCGACCCUACUAAAUCCAAACCAAAAUAUACAUCUACAUCAUUUGGUUUGAGAUUUUAUAAACUAAAUGGUUCAGUAUGGUUUGGCUUUAAACCAAACCAAACCGAAUUGUUUUUUUUCUAAGUAGAUUAAUUAAAUAUAUUAAUAAUACUGAAAUUUAAUAUAUUUAACAUUUAAUUUAAACUAGUAAACAUAAUUUUAUCCAUUUUACUUUUAAAUGAAUAAGAUACAUACAACUACAAAUAAAAUAAAGAAUAUAAAUUGUAUAGAUUAACAUCAAAAUUGAAAAAUUACCAUGUAUAUUAGGUUUGAAAAUAAUAAUAUAAAAUUAUUGGAUUACAUAAAUAAAUUUGGACACUAAAUCAAUAUUUUCUUCAUAUGCAAAACCCAUCAAUUUCAUUUUUGUUGCAUAUGCAUAAUUGUAUAAAAUAUUUUUUUUGUUAUGAUAAUGUGAACCCCACCCCCCUUCUUUUUUUAUUUUUUAUUUCAUUUUAUUUGAAGAAAUUAAUUUUAUAGUUAUAUUUUGUAACUGAAUGAGAACAAAAUUUAAAAAUCAACUCGAUUGAACUAAACAAACACAAACAAAACCAUAUUAAACUGAAUUAAACACAAACUAAACCGAACUAAAAUCAAACUGAACCAAACUAAUUUGUGUUGACUUUGGUUAUAGUUUUUUAAACCCAAAUAAACCGAACCCAAAAACUAAACCGAACCAAAACCAAACUAAAACCAAACUAGGGGACAUGUACCUCGAUAACUUUUUUAAAACUAUUGAAACAUUCCAUAUACCAGUGUAUUCACAAUAUAUGAACAAAGUCAAUACAGAAGUUCAAAAACUAUGGGCUUUUAAUGAAAUAGCCCACAAAAAAAAGAGCAAGAAAAACGCUGUGCUUUUAAAAGAAAAACAUUUUAAAAAUCUAAAAGAAACGAAGAAGAGAGAAAAAAGGAAUCAAUCACACUGUUGGGAAAGCAGCCAAGAGAAUCGGUUUUCAAUCUCUCCGAGAAUCAAAUGGCUGCGGCGGAGGCGAUGAUCGGCUUUCCGCAGGCGUAUCUGGAGAGUAGAGAGGUGAAGGAGACAAGCUCGCUAGUAACUGAACUCUGCCGUCACUUUUACACACAGGGUUGGGUGUCCGGAACAGGAGGCAGCAUCACCAUCAAGGUCCACGAUGCUUCUAUCCCUAAACCCGACCAGCUCAUCGUCAUGUCUCCUUCAGGUUUCUCUCUCUCCCCGUGUCUGUGUUUAGUAGUGUUCUUUGUUUUGUACAUUUGAUUGAAAUGAAAAAAAAAAGGUUUAAACUUGUUGUGGUGGGUGCUGAUUCGAGUUUGUGAUGUGGUGAAGGUGUUCAAAAGGAGAGGAUGGAGCCUGAGGAUAUGUACAUCUUAUCUCCUAAUGGAUCUGUUAUAUCUGCACCCUCUCCUAAGCCUUACCCUAAUAAGCUUCCCAAGUGUACUGAUUGUGCUCCUCUUUUCAUGAAGGUAUUUCUUUUUUUUUCUGUGUAAUUAGGCAAUCUUCAUACCCUAAAAAAUAAAGAACAUCAAAAUGAUUGAAUAUGCAUGAAAACCUAGGUUGCAUGGAAACAGAAACGGAUACGUUGAAACGAAACGUUUCGAAAUGUGGAAACGUGAUUUUUGAUUUUUUAUGAUUUGGAAACAUUUUAGAAACGUCUAUAUAUAUAUAUAUAUAUAUAUAUAUAUAGUGAGGAAGCUUUAAUAUGAAACACAAGAAUGAUUUUUUCACAUUUUCAGAUAAUAGCCUAUCCUAAAGCAACAGCAGUGUUGGUACGCAAUCAUGGAGUUUACAUUUGGGGUGAUUCCUGGAUCCAUGCUAAGACUCAGGUUUCUGAAAGCCACUUCUGUUUUGUUAUGUUUCAUUCAAAUACAUUUGCUAUAUAAAAACUUGUAUGCUUGCUUGUUUCCAGGCUGAAUGUUACCAUUAUUUGUUUGAUGCUGCCAUCAAGCUUCAUCAACUGGGUCUGGAUGCUGCUACUCCAGAACACGGGCCUAUCGAAAGAGCCAUACACUCACAAAACCAAACAGAAUCAACUCGGGUAUAAAGCCUAUGGUUUCUAUCGUCUUACAUGUUACAUCCAAUAGUCAAGGAUUCACAAAAAUCUAGUUUUAGUUAUAUUCUUUUUUUGGUUGCACAGAGAUGCAUUGUCCUAGAUAUUGAAGGGACAACAACACCCAUAACAUUCGUCACGGAUGUUCUCUUUACCUAUGCUCGUGAAAACGUUGGGAAGCAUUUGAGUUUGACGUACGACACAGCAGAAACUCAAGAGGAUAUUAAGUUGCUGCGGUCUCAGGUAAUAACGAAUUUUCUUUAUUGUCUUAUCAUCUCUUGUAAUAAACAAGUGACCAAAGUUCAUCUCUGGUAUAUAUGUUGCAGGUUGAGGAAGACUUGAGACAAGGUGUAACCGGCGCUGUUCCCGUACCUCAUACUGGUGAAGGAAAAGACGAGGUCAUUGCAGCUAUCGUCUCUAAUGUGGAGGCAAUGAUAAAAGCCGAUAGAAAGAUCACUGCUUUAAAGGAAUUACAAGUGAGGAAACAAAAAAACAAGAUUCCAACUUUUUAUGUUCUGUUUUGUUGAUUUUUGUAAUGUCUGAUAUGGAGUUUCUGUAUUGAAGGGUCACAUAUGGCGAACAGGUUUCAAAUGUAAUGAACUGAAGUCUGUCGUUUUCGAAGAUAUAGCAGACGCUUUAGAGAAAUGGCAUUCUUCAGGAACUAAGGUAUGUUCAUGUAAAGCUUUUAGGAGAAAUGUCGUUUUUAUUUAUUUUUGUUCACAGGUCUAACGUGGUGUUGUGAAUAGGUUUACAUAUAUUCUAGUGGUAGUAGAUUAGCGCAAAGGCUUCUCUUUGGGAACACAACCUAUGGAGAUCUGAGGAAGUAUUUAUCUGGCUUUUUCGACACUACAAUCGGGUAUAUAAAAAGAGUCCAUCACUUCCAUUUUCAAUAGAAGAUGAUGAUCCAAAGUCUCAAACGUUUCUUGGCUGCAGAAACAAGAAAGAGAGCAGGAGUUACAAGGAGAUUACAGAAACUCUUGGAGUGGAUGAUCCUUCAGAGAUUCUUUUUGUGACAGAUGUUUAUCAAGAAGCUACUGCUGCAAAAGCCGCAGGUAAUAAACACAUGCACAAAACUCUUACCUCUAGAUAAUAUUUUACCUGUGGAACUGGUUAGAGAUUCUGAUGACCUUUUGCGGUUGUGAAAAGGUCUGGAGGCGAUUAUAUCGAUUCGACCUGGAAACGCUUCCCUACCAGAGAAUCACGGGUUCAAGACUGUCACAUCAUUCUCACAAAUUUAGAGAUUCCUCUAUGUGUUGUUUCCUAUUGGUGUUGUACUUGAUAUGAUCACACUUACCAAAUAAAUAGCUUGAUAAUAAAUCUAUAUGUAGAGAGCUUGACAAAGCUCGACUCUGAUUUAUCAGUGAAUUCAGUAAAGUUUGGUUCUUGCAUGUGAGUUAUGAAGUGGGCAAAACGUAACUACUGGGGCCAAAUCUAUUACUAAAAUAUAUUUUAUAUUUUCAAAUAAUAGAAAAGAUAGAACAAAUCUAUACAUAACAUUUAGGAUAACAAGAAUAUAAUUCUGGAAGGUCCAUUUAGGAUAAACAAAACUAUUAAUUUACAUUUUAAAUUAUGAUAGAAUGUGCAUAUUAUUAGGUAUAUAAUACAUAUCAUUUUCAAAAAAUGGCUAUAUUUUAUGUGUUAGUACAUUAGAACAUUACUAGCAUAUCCAAAUAGAAUCCCUUGUACAUUAAUUGAGGAUCAUUAAAAGUUGUAACCUUAAAUUUGUACCAAUUAAAAAGAGAUCAUGUUUAGGUGUCGCUUAAUUAGUAUGACAAUUUAGCUUACGUGGCAGUUUAAGAAUUAAUUAAAAAAAAUGUUGAUCCAAAUCUAAUUACUAUGGAACAUUAUAUUAACCUAAAAUAUAAGAAGCGUGUAUUCUUUUCUUAAAUAAAAGCUACAAAAUUACAUAAUAUGAUUAACAUAUAUAUGACAAUAAAUGACUAUGAAUAAUACAUAUUUGAUAACAAUUUUUGCAUCUUUCUUCAUUUUUGUUUAAUUUUAUACUAUUAAAAAAAUUGAACAAUCACAUUAACCAUAUAAUAAAAAAUUAGAUGUUUUUUUAUAUGUUAUAUUUUGAAUUUUUUAAAAUGACUUUAAAUUACAAAAAUGAGGAAACCUUAUAUGUUAUAUUUUUUUAUAUGUUAUAUUUUGAAUUUUUUAAAACGACUUCAAAUUACAAAAAAAUGUAAGUUUUCCUUAAGCAUACGACUAAAAGCAUUAAAAUGACAUGUAUCAAUUCGAUGAUUGAUCUGAAACCUUUCAAAACCAAAUGAAAGAUAAAUUUCAAAAUAAUUCAACUAUGGAAACAAUACUAUUCACUUUUUUCAAAAAUGUGUUUGGUGGAAAAAAAUAAGGUUUUUGUGUCAUAAUUUGUUUAAUGUCCAAUCCGAUCAACCCAUGAUAUAUUAAUUAUAGUUUAGUUCUAUAAUUUUUAAUAAAAAUUGAUCCGGUCCAUCGAAAAAUAUAUAUAAUAACAACAAAAACAUUGUAUAUGUAUAAAUAAAAUGAUCAAAUAUAUAAAUUAAAUUGUCGAUAAUAUAUAUAAAUAAACUCAUCCCGUACAAAGCGCAAGUCUUAUCCUACUUACAAGUUAUACUUUUAAAAUCUAUGUUUUCAAAAACUGAGUGUGUCAGUUUAUGUUUAGCGGAGAUGAUUUGAGUGAAAUACCUUAGUAUACCUGCUGCAACUGGUUGCCACUAUCCAACUUCAGUGAAAGAAGCUAAUCAGAGAGAGAGACUAGAAAAAAGUAUGAGAGAUCUCUAAAACCAUAAAACCAUUAAACGGGCAUUUGAUUAUUUGGGAAUCAAUCACUACCCCACACAUCACACGCGAGGAACUGAGUGACAAAACUCACAGAUUCUGCAGAGAUGCUUUAGCUAAUGCAACCGUUAUCACAAGAUUCAUAAGUUAAAACAAAGUUCAAAAUUGUCGCGGGUAACAAUUAGAUAUAGUUCAAAAAUAAUAUAGCUCUGAGACUUAUGAGGAAGUAUAGGCUAUAGCAAAAAUUUCUCCAAAGGGCAUACACAUUAUAAUCUCACAGAGAACAUAUAACAAGACUCAUUACAAAACUGGUUGACUAUACAUGGGCGGAUGUAGAAAGAAAUUUGAGAGGUGGAAAAUUAUAGAUAAAUAUGAUAAAAAGAAAUAAAAAUUUCAUGGGGGUAAGUGCCACAUUCUUGAGGUGGAACUAUAUCUUGACAAUUUGUUUAAGUAGAUAGUUUUUAAAAUCAAAAGGGACACUAACUUCAUAACGGUCUUUUGCAAUGUCUUUCCUUUGUCUAACAUUUUUUUGUUGUUGAUAAAGACUUUGACAAAAGAAAAACAAAUGUAAUGAGUAAUAGUUGACUAGUAUUUUUAUAUGGAUAUAUAAAACUGGAUAAAGAAACUAUAAGCCAAAAAGAAUAUAUUAGCGUUGUUUGGUUAUACAUUAAAAGAAGAGAUAAACUGUUAUAUGAGGGAUUAGUUAUGUAGAACUUUGAUAACAACUUGGUUUUAAUUUGCGGUGAUAAUAUUAAAAUUAAGAUUUAAGUUGUUUGGUCGCAUAUCUAAAGUUGUAUAUCCAAAUAUCGUAAUUUUCAGAUAAUGUAAGUUGAAAAGGGUAGCACAUUCAAAGUGGAGUUGCUUGUAACGUGAAGCAAAGAUGAUUCAUUCGCCUUUUGCUUGGUUUUCAACUCUAAUCAUAACGGACUACUUAUUUUGUCUUUUACUUUCUUUUACUCUUUUUCUCCACCUUUUAUUUAAUUUAAAUUUAUUUACAUUCAAAAAAUUAUUUUCCUUCCAAGACAAAAGACAAAGCAAUAGAAGAACAGUAUUAACAUAUAGCUAUUUUUUUAUUCAAGAAAAAUUUGAAAAAACUAUAGACAGAAGAGGAGAAAGUCCAAAGAAUAUGUAGUAAAAGACCAAACGUGCCUCCAUGAUUACUCCAUCAAAUUCAAAGUCAUCACCACCAAAAUGGUCUUCUAUACUAACCUGAUCAUAGAAGUCUUUAUUUCAUAUUGUCUCUCCGAAACUUUCUACUAUAUAUUAGGAGUAUUAGAUAUUACAAUAUUUUCAUAUUACUCGCCAAACUUCCGAUGGAUAUUUACUUAUAUAGACAAAGACCAUUCAUUCUACUCAUGUUUUCUAAUCGUAACCAUCUAAACUUUGAUAUUGUUUUUAUUUGUUGCUGAAAUUUUGACAAAACAGUUUUGUAAGAAUAUUAUUGUCUAUAUCAUAAAGUUGAGCAUAAACAUGAAUCUAUUCGAUCUCGAUACUGAGUGACACACGUUGAAUUACACAUCAUAUAUCAGUAUGAUCACAAUAUAUAAAGGAUCUUUUGUUUAAAAAAAAGAACAAGUCUUAAAUCAGUAUCAUGAUUCAUGAAUAUAUCUUACCUUCCAAUCACAAAUUGCACCGAGUUACUGAGAUUAAUAGUGAGCAUAUAACCGCAUAAACUUUACAGUCGCUCCAUUACUAAUAACUUACAUCUUAGUUAUAUAUAGGUAAACAAAAUCCGAUAAUAUAUUAAUUUAUUAUAGAAUGUGAACACACGUUGGUCAUCGUCAAGAUUUAUGGAUUCCUGGGAGAAGUAACCGGAAAAAGAGGAAGAAGCAGUGGCUGAGAGUCUCUAGGAGUUGAAACUGGAGAAGGGUGAAGAUAAAAUCCUUUUUCAGCAAUGGCUUUGUCUUCUUCAGAUGAACUCCCUAAAGACAAAGGCGAUGACUUGUUGAAGGGGUCAUCGUUGCUUCUCAGUGGCGUAACGGGACUGUUUAGCCCUAGCUUUGGGAAAUCUAGCAUGCUUGGAGACAGAAGAACAUUCUCUGAUGAGCUGUUCCUUGGAGAGAAUCUUGGGCUUUGACCAUUGUGUCCGCUCGAGAACAUCAACCUCUGGGAGUUUUGAAGCCUUAAAGUAUUGAUCAUUAAAUUAUUCUUACCAAACAUGUUGUUAUUGUUUUGUCUUCUUUCGUAGAGUUUAAAACUGUUGGUUUUCUUGAUGGGUGGGAUUGAGAAACCUACUUUGUUGUUGUUCACCGGAGAAGGAGCUUUGUGGUGGUUUUCAGUUUUGGUAUCGGUGGAGGAGCCGGUCAGCAUCUGCACAACUUGUUUGAAAGUGGAAGUGUCUGCUUGAACAAAUGUUGUUGGGUAAGGGUUUGAGAGAUGUUGAUGUUGGUCAUGAUGAUGAUGACGAGGAGAUCUUGUCUGAGGCUGAAACCUAGGAGAUGUGAUUAUGGGAGGGUAGUUUUGCAUGAUUUGUUCUGGUUUUGAACAGAUGGAUGAUGUUGAUGAGACCUCCAUUAAUGUUAACCCUUUGUGUGUAUAUGAGGGGGUGGGGAGAGGAGAGAAGAGAAGAUUGAUUGAUUGAAAGACAAUAAGAAGAAGAGUGGAAGUUGCCGAUGUGAAUAAUGUGUAAUGUUGUUUGGUUUUGUCGUGCGACGACAAUUAAAAAGACUUUAAGGUGAGGUGUCAUGGACCCCUCUCUCUCUCUCUCUCUCUCUCUCUCUCUCUCUCUCUCUCUCUCUCUCUCUCUCUCUCUCUCUUAAAACUUUCCGUAUUUCUUUCUGUGAAAUUAAAUUUUCUUUUUUUUGUUAAAAAAAACAAAUUCUUUUAGAGCAUGGCAUUCUAUAUAAUGGGGGUUUUUUCUUUUGUUUUUCGGUAAAAUAUUACAAGUGGACCUGAUUUUAGUUCAAUUGGCAUUGUUAUUUUUGUGUGUGUUUACCUAAACAAAAUAUAAAAAUUAAUGUUAUAUAUUAAUAGUAAUAACUUAUAUAAACUAAAAAUACAAAAACAAGAUAAUUAAUAAACUAAAAAUAGAUAGUCAAAUUCAAAAUAAUAAUCUUGUAACCAAAAAACUUAUUAUAACACAUAAUUAUGAUCUCAUAUUCUGAUAGAUUGUUUCCAGAUUCAUCAAAAUUAUUAAAAUACUAUCCAAAUGAAUUAUAUGAAAAAGAAAUUGUUGAUUCAUUAUUUUCUUUAAGAUUUGAGUUUGUUUCUCUUAAAUGUUCAGAUGUUUGGUGUUUGGUUUUCUAUGAAAUUUAGGUUUUGAAGUAACAUUGGAUUUUAUUCGUUGAACUCUUUCAAUGUAUAAUAUUUAUUUUGCAUCUUCAAAUGGUGUUGUCUUUUAGUGAUAUUAUGAUAGUAGUAUCUUAUGUUACAAAAAAAUAAAAGUAGAGUUUUAACAUUUUGUAAGUUAUAAUUAAUAAUAAAUUAGUGAAUAAUUAAAAAGUAACAGUUGAUUAUUUUAAGGACUUAUUUGGUACUACUUCACUUUCAGAUUUUGAAAGUUUUUUGAAAAAGAUCCCAUCUUCUAUUAUUCAGCAAAUGAAAAUCAAAUUGACAACGGAGGAAGAAGUAAAACAAACUUUGUUUAUGAUGUACCCGGAUAAAGUUCUUUGCCCGGAUGUAAUUACAUUACGUAUUAGAUUGCAAGCUUUUUAAUUUACGUUUUGUAGUUUCUAUUAUAUUGAGGAUUAAUUUUUUUUAUAUUUCCGCUUGUAUUAUAUUCUCAAACAACAUGUAAAUAGAUACGUUACAAAGGGAACUAAAUUGAAAUAUAACCUUUAUGAGCUCGAAUAUGUUCUCGUUUUAUGAAUUCCAACAACAUUUACACAAAUUAGUGUGAACACAUGAGGAAACAAGUUAAAAACGGUGAUCGUAUCAAAUUCGUUUUAUUUUUGAUUACUUUGUUGUCAACAAAUAUUAAGAAGACAGAAAAUAGAGGAAAAAAAAAAGAUAAGAGUAAGAAUUGUGGGGACUCGAAUUUCCAUUGGUGAAAAUUGUCGUCCCUCCAUGAAGAAUCAAAUUCUUUCAAACUUCAAAUCAUUAGUGUUUUCCAGAAUCCAGUGAUUAAAGAUUUCCUUAAUUGCACACAAAUGUGCAAAGCGAAGCAUAUAUCGAUCUUAUUAUUUAAAACAUCAAGGAAUUCGAAGUCUUCUUUUUUUUUUUCGGUCAAAAGGAAUUCGAAGUCUUCUUGAACUCUAUUGUUGGUAGAUAAAUACCACAAUGAAUCAAUGAUCAGAGUGCACAAAAAGUAGGGUCGGCCCAAACAUUCCGAAAUUUCUUUAUGGCUCUAAAUCAAUGUAGCAAAAUAUAUAACCAAUGAAAACAUAUAAUGGACAUUUUAACAUAAUUUUAUACGUUCUAAUCAGUCGUUUAUUUGACUUUAUGCUAUUGCUAGCACCGAUUAGAAGAUAUAUUUUUUGACCCUAAUUACUUAUAUGUAAUGUACAUACAGGUGUAGUGUGUAUGUAUAACGGAAUAUAACAAAGCUAAUUUCUUCUUCUGUUUUUUUUUCACUGAAAAUUUAAGAUGAUGAAUUCCACCACAAAGAAAAUAAAACUGAGUCGCAAUACUUAGAAGUUUAAAUAAAAAAUAAAUAAGCUAAACUCCAUGUGUUCAAUAUACGUUCAUCACAUAUUUUUAUUACAUAUAUAAAUAUCAAAUAACUGCAAGGCUACAUAUUAAUCAAAAGAUAAGAGUCAACAACCCUUGGAUAGAUAUUGUAUAUACUUAGAAAAUCCAGAAAAGAUUUUGCCUAAAUGGCUUCGUUUGAAAUCCUUAGGCUUUAGAUAGAUAAACCUAUCUAAUUAUUAGUAGUAGUAGUAGUAGUAUGGUAGGAAUAAAAUAAAUAAAUUAUUAUUAGGAACGUGCUUUCUCAUUUGUUCAAUCCCGUCUUUUCCUUAAUGGCCUCAGUGGCACCCUGUGCUUUCUGCUUCAGCUGCUGUCCACCCUGUGCUCCAAUUCUCAUAAAUACGUGAUUGUUUCAUAAAAAUAUAUUUAAGCAUGAGAAAAGAAAAUGGACCUCUGACAAAGAUUCCUUGGCGGAUUGGGCAGCAUUGGAGGCCUUGUCCAUCAGGUUGCUUGCCUUCUCCUACAACAAUUUUUAGUUACUUCUAAUUAAUAUUAAUUAUUAAUCUAAAAACAAUAUUUGUUUAAGCUUAGAUAAACGGUGUUGUAUAGACAAAACCUGGGUUUGGCCUUUAGCUUGGCCAGCGUUGAAGCUCAGGUUCUGACUGUUGUUAGACAUUUUCUUAUCUCCGCUUAAAAAACGAAAUUAUAAUUUGCAAGGGAAACUUGUGACUUCUGAGAAAGAGCAUUACGCAUAGAGGUUUAUAUACAUGUGGGGUCCUCCUGUCGUUACCUCCACGUGGAUUUUUGUUAUUGGAAGUCUGUGUAGUCUUUAACACGUGGCUUUUAAGCUUAGUACUCUCCGGUCGGAUUGGGGGGAGGGAGGUGUUGACCACGAGACAAGCAAAUCUGUUAUAGACUUGUUCCAAAUUCCAAUGUACUUAAUAUAGUCUAAUAUAGUUCUGUUUAUAACCCUUUUUGUGUAGUGCAUUAUCAUUUUAUUUUUGUAUUACAUAUUAAAGGGACACAUAAACAAUUGUAUAAUAGAUAUAACCAAUACUCCAUCAAUGGUCUGCCUCAACACUAAAUAAGAUUCAAAACUUUGAGAAAAUAAUACCAAAAUAGAUAUUAUCCUUCAUUUAUUCGUUAAAGCUAAGAACUCAUGUAUACAACAACAAAAGAUGCUAAGUACCUUUGAGAUAGUCUACUAAUAUCAGUAGAUGGUAAAUAAUAUCUCAUCCAAAGAUUGGAAAAGCAUCAGGUUUUCACGUUCUGAAUGUAAGCUCAUGAAAAAGGAGCUUGUUCGUGCUUGACAUAACAUGGAGUAGAAGGAGUGCUGAAGAUGUUCGUGUUAUAUCUGAGGAAUGACAGUAUUGAAGACCCACGACGGGUAUGAACAAGCAAAUUCAUGUCCAUAAAUUUGCGGGUCUCGCGGGUGAGACCAUGCGGCUUGCGGGUGGGUGGAUAGAGUCCGUGAUCGGUCCGCAGGUCAGCCGAUUGUCCGCAUAAAAUAAAUCAAUAUAAUUUUCAGUCGGCUUCAUUCGGUGGAUCUUAUUGAUUCCAAUUCGGAAUCAGUCACCAUGUUUUUUUUUCAAUUUGAACUUCUGCAUGUUAUCUCUUGAGUAGGUAGAAGGGUGAAGUGUUUGCAUGUUCUUCAAUGGAGGAAGCAGAUGGAGAGGUCAUUGCUUCCGCAGAGAUUAUUGCCUCUUCUCGCUCUCAUCGCUGGUUGCAGUGAGGCUGCCACGACCGAAGGCCCUGUUGAAGCGUACCCAGCCCUAAUUUUAAAUGCGGUCAAUAUACUGUUUAAGUAAAAAAAAAAUGUAAAAGGGGUCAAGAUGGAUUCAAACCUGGAUUUUUUGGGUUUGUUUGGAAGGUGUUAGUGGAAAAUAAAUUUUUAAUGAUUUAAUUUUAUGCAGUCUUGUGUUAUUGGUUUAUAGAUUUUCACAUUCUCGCUAAAAUCUAUUGUUAUUAUGAUAGAUUCUAUAAUUCUAUACAAAAUUUUGUUAUUUAAAAAGUUUAGAUUUUAAUGAUUUAUAAAUCUAUUAAAGUUAGUGUUAUUGGAAGUUUUUAUUCUUAACCAUUUAACUUAUGUAACAAUAUUUGAAGAAUACUACAUAUAUCCAACUUUACCGCAUGCUUUCCUUCACAGUUCCUUGUCCAUCUUUCUAAGUUAAUUAUUAAAUAAAAACAAAACAUCAAUUAGUAUAUGCCUAUCAUCACUAUUAAACACGAAAUCAAGCGCAAAAUUCAAAAUAUAAGCAAAAUUUAACCAAAUUCAGAGAUAAACUUGAGAAAAUAAAACAAAAUAUAAAACAAAAAAAUAUUAUAAACAAAAUUAAAUAGUUGUAGAGGAAAAACUGCAUUCCUGAUAAAAUAACUAAGAAUUGUGGGUUGAUCUGAAAUCAUAGUAAAAUAUUCUAAUGAUAACGUUGAGGAAUGCAGUUUUUCUUCUACAACUAUCUAAUUUUGUUUAUGAGGAGGUAGAAAAUCUGGUCUACAACUACCUCCUCACCCAGUCUUUUUUUGUAAGACUUUCCCAAAAUGAAUCGGAGGAGUCAUAUGAGUCCACCAGGCCCAUACUAGUACUUGCUCCCCCAUCGCUAGCACUUUGCAGAUUACAGAAUGAGUCCGCCGGGCUAGUGUAUUCAACCUUGCAAACGACGUAACUCCUCUGCAAAAUCAAUCCACAAAUGACAAAACAAAGUUACAAAAAUAUGAUUUUUAAUUUUUUUUUAACGGACAAGAAAAGAGAGGAGCGCACCAUUUCUUCCGGAAAGGAGAGGUCGGAGAACUUAUGCAUGAUCCACUCGGUUCACUUUCCAUGUGGACUCUUCCCUGUCAAGAAAACCAAAGUCUUCUUAAGACCGAUUUGACAAUGACUGCCCGAUUCUAAAAGGGCAAGAAAACAGAGCAUCGCUUUAUUUAUAAUCUGAUUACUCUCCUCAAAUUGUAUUGCUUCUUUUUGAAGUUAUAUAUCAUACCAUCUUUUGCAUGGUUGAAUACUUGAAUUAACAAUGUUUACUUUAUGAUAAAUUACGUACUAUUUUUUUAAUUUAAAAUAGAUGAAUAUAAUUACACAUGUCUUUGAUGUGUUUGUUUGAAUUUUAGGUUUGAAAUUUUUUCAGUUCUUCUAUGUUCAUCAUUCCUAUUUAAUAUAAAAUCAAUAAAAGAGUUAAAUAUAAAAAUUUUAAAACUAUAAGAAAACUAAAAGCAAAAAAUAUAUAUAAUCUUGAAAAAUAAAACAAAACAAAAGGAAAAUAAAAUAGAUAUGUUAAAAUGAAUUUGGAUAACUUGAAUAUAAAAACUAAUAUAAUGGUAAAAUAACAAAGAAUUAUGAGUCAAAAUGUUGAUAACUAUAAAAUAUCAUCGAAGCAUCAGAAUGUUAUUACAAUUAUACUUUUAACCAUUAUAUUAAAAACGAUUUUUAGAAAUUAGAAACUCCAAAAUUCAUUUAUCUGGAGUUUAAGGAAAAUAUUUCUUAUUAAAACAAAAGUCGUGAUUUAUUCAAUGUAUGAUUUUUAGACCAUAUUUUUGAAAGUCAUGAUUUUAAAUGGGGUUAUCAUUAAUUUUCAUAAUAAUUAAACUUAAGAGCUUCAUUAACUAAACAUCUAUUACAUUCGACCAAAAUAUUUUUCGUUGCUCUAAUCCACGACCAAAAAAUCAAUCUUUCUGAUUUUCCGGCUUAUAUUUUUAAAACCAUAUAACUUUCAGUUUAAUUUAUUAUACAUGAAUCUAUAUUAUAUCAAAUUCAACCUGUUUAUGAUUAUGAAACCAUUAUAAACCCUAUUCAAUCACGAAUAAUAUAGAUCAUAUUCAACAUUGAUAUAACAAUGGAACCAGUUUAUUUUCAGUGGCGUUUUAUAUUUGUGAAUCCGAUCAAUAUAUAUAUAUAUAUAUAUAUACGACAAGUUUAUUUAAACUACUUGACUAAGUUUAUACACAGUCUACUAAUCCAAUUUUUAAAAUAUAGUAAAUAUGUAGUAUAGAUAUGGUUGGAACUCUACAUCAUAACUUCAAAACUUCGAACAAUUUUUUUCUUUUUGAUAUAUAAUUUGUCUUAAAAAAUCUUCACAAAAGGUAGAAUCAAUUGAUAUUGUGUUGGUAAGAUUGAAAAUUUAGAAAUAUAUUGUGGUAUCAAAGGGAAGUCCCCAAACUGAAACCUCAUAAAUUUGGGAUUCUUCUUAUUCUUUUUGAGAUCCAAGGCAGCCAUGUAUGUAGGCACAUCCUGUAGUGAGGAGGUAGAAAACUGGUCUUUCCGAGGAUAAAUGAUGCUAGAGUUGAUUUCGCAGGAGAAAUAAAUGUUGAUAAUCGUCCAGUUUGAAUCUCGAUUAGGCAUACAGUAACAAAGUUUGGAUCCAAAAAAGGUGAAACUCACUAUAUAAUCAUCGUCUUUGUUGGGAAGAUAAGUGGACAAGGAAACAUUUCCGACUAUUUCGGCAUGCAGAACAAGGUGACCAGUAAAUGGAGGCAGGGUAAUGGUUUUGGGAGAUGACUCUAAAGACCAAGGAUUAAGGACUUGGGUGAGAUGUAUGGUGAAAUCAGGGUGUCUCAUGAAAACUGCCCAGCAACGUGAGGUUCCAAGCAGUUUGCAUCCGUCCAACAAUACUUUUGGGAAUUUCUUGCCAGUAAUAUUGAUGAAUUUUUCACUUCUUGGAUUAAAUACCCAAUAAUCUGUAAAGAUUCGUGUUCUUGAAAACUAAGGUUACCUAGCAAUUCAGUGGCGGAUCUAGAAAAUAUUUUGAGUGGAGACAAAAAAUAAUAAAUUAAUUAAUAUAUUUUUAAUAAAAUAUAUAUGUAUAUAUUUUUUAUAUUUGAUAAUGUUAUAUAAAUUUUAUAUAUUUCAAAAGAAGAAAAUAAACUAAUAAAAUGAUACCAAAAAAAUAUAUUAAAGGAAGAGAAAUGAUUUAUCAAGCUACCAAAACUAUUUGGUAAAAAAUUACUAAAUACAAAAUUGAUUUUGAAUUGAAAAGAACCAAAGAACCAAUGAAUUAAAAAAAACUAUAAGAAUGCAACGUAAGAAAAAUUAAUAAUAAUAUGAUAGCUGGCCCAAAGAAUCAAAAAAAUAAAUUAAAAACAGUAAAACCGAUGAACAAAAAAACUAAAAGAAAGCAAGGUGAGGAAAAAGAGAAUAUAUAUACUAUUAUUUAUGAAGUGAUUUUGCUGAUUUGUCACAUUCUUCAUGAUUUUAGAUAAUUUUUGCUUAUUUGUCAUAUUCUUAUUAUUUUUAACUUAAAUAUUUAAUUUAUUAACUGAAAUAAUAUAACUAUUUCGAAAUUUCUAAUUAAUUUAUUAAUUUAAAUAAUAUAACUAUGAUUUUUCUGAUUUGUCACAUUCUCCAUGAUUUUAUCUAAUUUUGUUUAUUUGUCAUAUUCUUAUUAGUUUUAGUUUAAUUAAUUAAUUUAUUAAUUUAAAUAAUAUAACUAUUUUCAAAAUUUCUAAUUAAUUAAUUAAUUUAAAUAAUAUAACUAUUUCAAAAUUUCUAACUGGAACUGUAAUUAUAAUAUUUUAACUUUCAAAAGUUUCUUAUUAUUCUUAAGCUUUAUGAAGUGAUUUUCCUGAUUUGUCACAUUAUCCAUGAUUUAGAUAAUUUUUGCUUAUUUGUCAUAUUCUUAUUAUUUUUAAAUUAAAUAUUUAAUUGAUUAACUGAAAUAAUAUAACUAUUUCGAAAUUUCUAAUUAAUUUAUUAAUCUAUCUAUAUUAUUAUUUAUGAAGUGAUUUAGCUUAUUUGUCAUUAUUUCCAUGAUUUUAAGUAAUUUUGCUUAUUUGUCAUGUUUUAAUUAUGUUUAAGCUGAGUUAUUAAUUUAUUAAUAGUUUUAAUUGAGUCCAUAAUUUAUUAAUUUAAAUAAUAUAACUAUAAAAUAUGUAAUUAAAUAUAUAAUUAUUUUGAUUUUGCUUAUUUUGCUUAUUUGUCAUGUAUAAAUGAUAAUAAAUAAUUUAAUAACAUUUAAUGACUUUUAGUGAUAAAACCCCUCAACUAAAGAUGAAUCGUAAAAAAAAACCCUCAACUAAAAAUCCAGUGAAAUAAACCCUCAAUUUAUAAACCGUUAACAUAUGUCACCCUCCGUCACGGUUUUUUAGACGGAGGGUAACAUAUUAUAUUUAAAAGUUAAGAGAAUUCUUAUAUAUAUUGUGUUGCUAUUUGAAAACAAUAUUUUUAUUAUAAAUUUAAAAAAUUAAGAUAUAAAAUAAUUUAUAAUUAAAUAUUAGUCAAACAAAAAUAUUUAUAUAAAUAUAUUUUAUAAACUAUUUCUAAUAUAUGAGUGUUUAAAACUUUUAACACAAUGAUAAGUACAUAGUUUGAUGAAUGUUUUUUUGAUAUAUAUAAAUAAUUUCAUGUUUGAUUUAACUAUUUAAAAUUAUAAAUAAUAAUUUAACUUGUGACUGAGUUUAAAACAAAUUUUCUUGCUUUUACUUUAAACCAGUUUAAGUUUAAUCCCUAAAAUAAUAUAGCUUUAGUUGGUGUCCACUAGAGAAUGAAUAAAAUAAAAAAUAAAAUUUCAUUUGAGGAAUUGAAACAAUAAAAAAAUAUGAAUUUUUGUUCAACUUUUUCCUUAUCAAAAUUGCUUACAGAAAUUUUUUCUUGUAAAUUUUUCCUCCAUGGAGAAUUUAAAAGAAAAAAGUGGGAUCUACUUUUCAAUAAUUUGACUAAAAUUUCAACAUAACUGGUAUAAAUUUUGAGUAAUAAAGAAAUAAAAUAAUAAAUAUUCGUAAGAUGAUUAUGCCCGCAUGUACGGGUAAAACAGUUAGUAAUAAGUAAUCAAAAAGGAAAAUUAGAAAAAAUAAUAAAAUCGGGUAAAACGUUUUGACGGGGAUUUGAUCGGUGGUUUAGUGGGUGCAUAAUGAGGGAUGGGACAAAUUUUGGUUUCACUAUUAUUUGUGCAAAUAAAAUAGAUGAAUAGAAUUACACAUAUCUUACAUGUGUUUGUUUGAAUUUUACGUUUAAAGUAUUUUCAGUUCGUCUAUGUUUAUCAUUACUACUAGGUAUUAUGUCCGCACAUGCGGGCAUAGUGUUUUUAAAGAUAUUUAUUAGUUUAUAAUUAUUAAAUCAAAAACCAGUAUAAUAAAUUAUUAAUUAUGUUUUAAAAAAUAGAUCAAUCAUUAAAAUUUAUACUUUAUAAUAAAAGAAUAUUAUUUUAGAUAUAUAUUUAAGAAUUAUCUUAUGUUUUAUUGAAAUUCAUUUUUAAUUAUUUAUAUUUUAGAUAAUUUUGAUUAUUAUUAAUUUUAAUCAUUUAUUUAAUCAGAUAGGAUUAAAAUUCGUUUUUAUUUUUGACUAAUUUAUAUAAUUGAUUCAUUAAGGGUAUAAACGAUAUUAACCGCUCUAGCUUUUAACGUGAAAGCUCGAUUCCAAAAAUUUACUUCGUAAAUAAUAGUAUAGAUUAAAUAUAAAAUCAAUAAAAUAAUUAAAUAUUAAAAAAAUAAAAAGAAAAAAAAAUUGAAGAUAUAGUAAAACAAAACAAAAGUAAAAUAAAAUAGAUAUGUUAAAACGAAUUUGGAUAAUAGGAAAAUAAAAACUUGUAUAAUGGUAAAAUAACCAAGAAUUGUGGAUUAAAAUGUUGAUAACUAUAAAAUAUAGUAAAAGCGUUAGAAUAUUAUUUCGGUUAGACUUUAAUCAUUAUAUUAAUAAUUUUUAGAAAUUAAAAACUUCAAAAUUCAUAUUUAGGAAAUAUAUCUUAUUGAAAAAAAAUUCGUGAUUUAUUUCAUAUAUGAUUUUUUGGAUCAUCUUUAGAAAGUCAUGAUUUUAAAUGGGUUUAUCAUUAAUUAUCAUAAUAAUUAAAAUUUAGAGCUUCACUAAUUACCAUCUACUACAUUCUACCAAAAAAAAUUUCGUUGAAAUAAUCAACAACCAAAAAACCAAUCUUUAUAAUCUUCCCCAUAUGCAAAUUUUUGGCUUAUAUUUUUAAAACCAUAUUAAUUUCAGUUUACUUUAUUAUAUAUGAAUAUAUAUUAUAUAAAAUUUAACUUGUUAUGAUUAUGAAACCUUAUAAACCCUAUUCAAUCAUGAAUAUAAUAGAUCAUAUUCAACAUUGUUAUAACUAUGGAACCAUUUUAUUAUUAGUGGUGGUUUAUAUUUGUGAAUCCGAUCAAUAUGUACAUAUGUAUAUAUAUGAAAAGUUUAUUUAAACUACUCGACUAAGUUCAUACACAGUCUGUUAAUCCAAUUUUUAAAUAUAGUAAACCAAUAGUAAAUAAUGUAAAACCUCUAUUUUUUUUUGAACACAAGCAGUAAAAAUUCUAUAAAUUAAUAAUGUUAGGACUUUGAAAUUUUAUUAAUUUAUAAAGUAUUAAUUUACAAAAAAAUUCUGUAGAUUUUUUAUUUUAAGAUAAGAAAAAUAUUUGAUUUUACUAUAUAGACAUUAACUGUUAUUUUUAAAAAUUUGACACUUAUAUUAAUUUAAUUGUAUUAUUUGGUGUAUAUAAUAUAUAUUGCAUAGAACUUAAAUGUGGUUUAAGAUAUAAUAUUACUAAAUCUCAUCAAAUAAUAUAAUAAUAGGUUCUUACAUAUAUAAAAUAUGUAUACAUAUAAAUUAUUAAUUUAUAAUUUUAGUAGGAUCAUAUAUUUAAAUAAAAUUUUCUAAAAAAAUAUUAUUUUAUCAAUUUGUGUCAAAUUUUGAACAGAUCUAAGUUGGGACCAGCGAAAUUGAAAUUAUUAAUUUAUCGAGUUUUAGUUUAUAAAAGUUCUACUGUAUGUAGUAUAGAUACGGUGGGAACGCUACUUCAAAACUUUAAAACAAAAUUAUUUGUUUAGAUACUGGUUUUGCUAAAAAGAAGUACGUGAGACGGCCGCUAAGUGACGUACCCGUGCAACCUAGACCAUACAUAAAGAAUAUCAACAAAACUCUAGAAUCAGUUAUCACUGGUAGAUGAAAAAAGCUCAAAAUAACUUGCUCUUCAUUUGCAAAAAAAAAACUCACUCUUAUCUUUUUAGAAGAAUUAUUGUUUCCAAAUUCUUUGAUUUCAGGUUUAGUAUGCAUCAGAGAUUGAAAGUUUAGUAUGCAUCAGGUUUUCACGUUCUGAAUAUAAGCUCAUGAAAAAAGAGCUUGUUCGUGCUUGACAUAACAUGGAGUAGAAGGAGUGCUGAUGAUGUUCGUGUUACAUCUGAGGAAUGACAGUUAUUGAAGACCCACGACGGGCAGGUAUGAACAAGCAAAUUCAUGUCCAUAAAUUUGCGGGUCUCGCGGGUGAAACCUAUGCUGCUUGCGGGUGGGUGGAUAGAGUCCAUGACGGGUCCGCAGAUUGUCCGCACAAAAUAAAUUAAUUUUCAGUCGGCUUCGUUCGGUGGAUCUUUUAUUCAUUCCAAUUCAGAAUCAGUCACCAUGGUUUUUCAGUUUGGACUUCUGCAUGUUAUCUCUUGAGUAGGUAGAAUGGUGAAGUUUGUUUGCAUGUUCUUCAAUGGAGGAAGCACAUGAAGAGGUCCUCUCGAAGCAUGAUGGUGGAAAGCAGUGGCGGACCUAGCCUUAAUUCUAAAUGCGGUCAAUAUACUGUUUAAGUGAAAAAUACAUGUAAAAAUGGUCAAGAUGGAUUGGAACCUAGAAUUUUUGGGGUUUGUUUGGUAGAAGUUACCAUCUGAGCUACUACUUCUAUAAGCAAUAUAAGCACAAAACACAUUUUAUUAAAUUUUUAGGUGCCAUUUGACACUUUUCUUUUCUUUGUGGAUCCGCCCCCUUGUGAAAAACUUGUUAUUUAGAAAGUAUUAGUAAAAAAUAGAUUUUUAAUGAUUUUAAGAAUAUAUAUAUAUAUAAAUAAUAUAGUGUUAUUGGCUUAAAUAUUUUCAUAUUCUUUCUAAAAUUUAUUGCUAUUGGUAUGAUGAUUCUAUAAUCCUAUACAAAUCUUUUGUUAUUUAAAAAGUUUAUAUUUUAAAGAUUCUACAAAUCUAUUAAAAUUAGUGUUAUUGGGAGUUGUAUUCUUAACAAUUAACUUAUGAAACAAUAUUUAAAGAAUACUACAUACUCCCUCUGUAUCAGUUUAACUAGUGUUUAAGGAUUUUGAUUUUGUUUCAAAAUAAGUGAUGUUUUCACAAUUCUAGGUGAAAUUUAAUGUCAUUUAAAAUUUUGACCAAUUAUAAAAAUACUAUAUCUUUUUCUUAUUGGUUGAAUUAGUUUUAUUUAAUGUUAUUUUAUGUAACCAAAACCAAAUACAUAAAAGUUUGUAUUUUCUUAAUAUAUGUGCAAAAACCUUAAACACCUCUUAAAAUGAUACAUAGGGAGUAUAUCCAACUUUACUGCAUGCUUUCCUUCAGUUUCUUGUCCAUCUUUCUGAGUUAAUUAUUAAAUAAAAACAAAACAUCAAUUAGUCUAUGCCUAGCAUCACUAUUAAACACGAAAUCAAUGAAACCGGUAAGUGCAAAAAUCAAAAUAUAAGCAAAAAUUAAACAGAUUCAAAGAUAAACUUGAGAAAAUAAAAAAAAUGUAAAACAAAAAAAUAUUAUAAACAAAAUUAGAUAGUUGUAGAAGAAGAACUGCACUCCAAAUAAAAUAAUAACAAAGAAUUGUGGGUUGAUCUGAAAUCAUAGUAAAAUAUUUCAAUGAUAACAUUGAGAAUAUCAAAGCACAACUAUGGUUAUUUUUAAGAGAUGUAUAAUAGCAUUAUGUAGUAAACAUGCAAUGCCUAGCUUGUAUGUACUGUUAGUUAUAUAUGAUUAAUUGAUGAACAAGAUUGGAGUCACUCUAGUACCUCCAUCUUGAGGGGGUGUAUAGGAGAUAUAUGAUUAGGGUCAUUAUUGUAAUUAGUUAAUACCUAAUGACUUCUGUAUUAUGUAUAAAUACUGUACUCAUACGUAUCAAUAAAGUAUUAAGCCUGUAUUCAUCGUAUUAUAAUAAAUUUACUUACUUUUACUUUCAUCUAUGACUGAUUUACAGGCUUUACUGUAGCCAUCUUUGCCUAAUUGCACCUUUGUUAACAAUCUGAUCUUUAUCAAUUUUCCAUCCAUUUUCCAAAAUUUUCUUCAUCUUUGAGUGAUUUUGUGUUGUUUUCUCUAUUUUUUUUUUUAAAUUCUCCGUACAGAUUAAUUUCACUGUGUUAUGUCUCUAUUUAUAACCUUCUUGGUUUCUCCAAAUGCGUUGCUUCACUUUGAAGCUUAUGCAUAACUAUUUUUGCAUUGUUGAACUUAAAACACUUUACUUCACGAUGAUUUACUAGUUAUCUUCCAGUAACCAGAACUAGUUGUCCGGCUCUGCUUAUUAGUGUUGCGGUACUGAUUGCCUCUGUCGGAGAAGAAGUACCAGGCAAAGUCCCUGGAUUUAACCCUCGAUAGGGCUUCCAAGAAAGCAAAAUACCAUGGAUCAAAAAUUAUACCAAAAGCAAAUAAAUUAGAAUACGAUCAAUUCAUGGUGUAGUCAUUUAUCAAAAACUUUUUAAAAAGUUAAAAAUGAUUACAUUGGUUAUGAGUUUAAUAUAACUCUAAGUUACUUACCUUUGUUGAAAUAAUAUGUCGCUAUCUCGCUGUAGAUUUCUUUGCCCGACUCUAUAAAUAUUGCUUUGUUAGCAAAUGUCUCUAACAAAAUCUCAACAUUCCUUCUUUGUUAUAUUGAUAUUUUUUUUUUCAAUUAUCUAUGUGUUUUCGUGAUUUUUUUCUUCUUGUAAUUACACAAUGUUGUCUCUAUUUAUAAUCUAAUUAGUUUCCUCAAAAUGUAUUGCUUAUUUUUGAAGUUAUACAUCAUACCAUCUUUUGUUUGGUUUAAUUAACAAUGUUUACUUUAUGAUAAAUUACGUACUAGUUUCUUAAUUUAAAAUAUAUGAAUACAAUUACACAUGUCUUACAUGUGUUUUGUUUGAAUUUUGAUUCAAAAUAUUUUCCGUUCGUCUAUCUUUACAUUACCAUUUAAUAUAAAAUCAAUAAAAGAGUUAAAUAUAAAAUUUAAAAAACUUAAGAAAAUUAAAAGCAAAAACAUAUAUAUAUAUAUAUAUAUAUAUAUAUUUAUUUAUUUAUAUUUAAAAGCAAAUACAAAUAUAGACAACACUGUGUAAUCCUAAUAAGGCAGAUAGAAUUGUCGGCUGUAAUAUAUUUAUGUAAUAUUUCUCAUAAUUUGUAUUAACAUAAUUAACCAGACAAAAAUGAAGUCUAUUACUUGAAAAUGAAGCAAUACAUUAAUGGAAAUUACUUAUGUUAUAAAUAGAUAGAUAAGUCUAUGAUAUAUAUAUAUAUAUAUAUUAAAAUAAAUAAGAAUUAUUGACUUAUAUUAUCAUAGAAAAAAUCUGAGUUUUAUAGAUUGGCUAAAAAAAUUUAUAUAUAGGUUUAUUAAAACUAACAUUAAAUUUUGUUGUUGUAAAUUUAACAAUGGAAAAAUGCAGUUAUAAAAAAAAACAGGUUCAAACUCUUUAGUUAACAACUAUAAUUUAGCAACUAUAAUUCAAACAGGUUAAAAGAGACUAAUUAACUUGGUUAGUGUAAACAUACGAAAUGAAAAGUAUAUUACUUUAAAUUGAAGCAAUACAUUAAUGGAAAUUUCUUAGGUUAUAAAUAGAUAGAUAAUAACUCAAAGAAAAAUAAACUACAAAGAGAAAAAUAAAAAAAAAGGUCAACAUGAGAAUGAACUUGUGGGAGCCUGUUAGAAAAGUUUUUUGUGCUAACAAAGAAGCUAUCUGUGUGGAGAGUCAACAUGCAUAUAGAAAUAUGAAGGAAUAAAUGGUAGUAGAGGAAAUAAAGAAGAUGGUGGAAAGAAGAAGGGAUGAAGUUGAAGCUUCAACUUCAGUAAAAACUACUUUCAAGAAUUAAGUUAAAGAAAUAAUAUAAUGCGUAUUAAGUAUGUGUGAUUAAUUGCUGUCUUUUUUUCUUUCUGUCUUAAUGAAAUACUAGAUUUUGACCCGCGCUUUUAAAGCGCGGGAUGUUUAUUGAUGAAAAAUUAUAUUAAAGAAGUUACUAAUUUUUGUAGAUUUGUAAGAAUUUUUUUCUAUUUAAAUUAGUGCUUUUAAACCAAAUCGAGACCCGCAUGUUAACCCAUUUGAUAUGUAAUCCAAUUUGGAUCUUAAUAAAUAUUCAUUAUUUUAAAACCUUAUAAAAUCUGAAAAUGUUAAGGCCUGAGGCUAACCAGUUAAACCGAUGGGUGACCGAUAUGUAAUCCAAUUUUAUUUUAUAUUUUUGACAGCACUUUGAUUUGAAUUUUUUUUUAAAAAAAAUUAAAAACUUAUUUAUUUUAACCUAAUUGUAUUUUUAUUAUCUGAUAACUACAAUUUGUUAUAAUUUGUUUUAGAUAUCUAUUUAUAUCUAUAAAAUAUAAUGAAAAACUAUUUUAAAAUUUUACUAUAUUUUUAAACAUGAUUUUUGUAUUUUAAUAUUAAUAUAUGUAUUUGUAUAUUAAAAUGAAAUAAAUUAUUGACCAAUGGCUCACCCGCGGUCAUCCUAAUAACCUAAUGACCAAAAAUAUUCCGGUUCAGUGUCGGGUUUAAAAACUUUAAUUUAACCAUAUUUUACUUUUAUAUUUUCUUAUAAUGUCAUUCAUUAAAUUUUAGGAAAAAGAUAUAUGAUUUAUAUACUAAAUCUUUGUAUUGAUUAUAUCCCAAAAGUUAAUAGAAUGUAUUGGCUGCCUCCAAUUAUAAUGGUAUAAUCCAGUAUUAGAGAUAAAUAAACAUUUAUAUUUUAUGGUUAACUAAUUUAGAGCCACGGUUUAGAUUUGAGCGGUGAAAUUUUGGAGCGGGAUGAAGUAUAGGAUGUUAAUAGAAUUGUGGUAAAAAAAAGGAUGUUAAUAGAUAAAUAAUAUAUAUUUAAAACAUUAAAUAAGAAUUUUAAACAUAGUUUAAAAAAGAAUUCUAAAAUUUCAAAAUAAAAUUUAUUUAUUUAUUUUAAAUAGUAUAAGGUUGUCAAUUUUGGUAUAACAUAUAGUUUGAAAAAAAAAAUUCACUUAGACACAAGUUAGCUCCAAUUUUGUGCUUCUAUUUUAAGAAUUAAUGAUUUUGACACCCAUUUCCAAAUAUGGAAUUAAUUAUUCUUUGUCGAAAAUUUUAAUUUUUAAUUAAAAUGUGUACAUACUAUAUAUUUAAUUUUUCAGUGUGCAUAAAUUUCUCUUGGCGACAUAUAAGUAAAAAAGUAUAUAAAUGUUGAAUUAUUUAUUAUUAUAUUGUUUUUAAACUGUUAUAUAUUAUAUUGUAAUUUUUUUGAUUAUAUGUUUUCAUAUAAUUUUAUCCCAUUCCAUCUAAUGAAAUUUACAAAACAUUGUUUUAAAAUGAGCUAUUGUUAGAAGUGGGUGCUGACAUAAUAAAAUUGUAAUGAAUAAUGAGGUAUUUAAUAUGCAGCAGAUUUAUAUAAGAGAAAUUCUUUUGUAUAGCUUUUUUUGUUUAUUUUCAGAAAAUAGCUAUUAAGGAGGAAAAUGACCAAAAGAAGAGUAAAUAUGCACUUAUAUCCCUAUAAUUAACUAAUUUAGACUUAUGGUUUAGAGUUAGAGGGUGGAAUUUCAAAUUUAAAAAAAAAACUAUAAAUUUUUCAAAAUAAAAAUUAUUAUUUUGAUCAUUUUAUUUUUUUGAAUAUUAUUUUUGUGACAAAAACUUAAAGUGGACUAUUUGAGAGAAUUUUCCUUUAUAUAACUUCUACAUAAAUUUAUGAUUAAAAGUAUUUUAAGUUGUGAUUUUUUUUUGUUGACCAAAAAAAAAGAACAUUAGUUAAACAGAACAAUUCAAGUGGAGACUUAUGAGACCCAUUAAUAAAAACUGAUAUAUAUAUAUAUAUAUGUAGUUUCCUAAAAAUAUCUCUAGACAUAAAUCUUAAUAACUAAAAUUAUUAAAAGAAAACAAAUACUAUAAUUAAAUGGUACACUUAUAAAUACUAAAGCAAAUGAAGAAGACCUAAAAAUGGUUUAUAUUUUAAUAGUAUAGAUAUUAGAUUUUGUUGUGAGCAGAUGAAGAAAAGUAAAAUAUUAGUGAAUGAUUUUCUAUUCUCCAACUUGAACCAUCCUCUCCAACCGAUUGAGAUAUGAUUUCUAACAAAUGAUAAGAAUGAUUGUAGGACUAUUAUCAAGAAAAUAGUAAGAAGUUUUUUUUUUUUGGAAUAAAUAUAGUAAGAAGUUAAUGAAUCCACUUACAUUCUUAUAUGCAAUUAAUAUAAUCUCUAACAUUUCACCAGAUUAUGCAGUGUCAGUUUCCGAAUAUGUAGAGGACGUUUUACUUGGAUUCACCAAAGCUAUAUUGAGUUCCCGGAGUUUGAUAAAAUUAAUUGGGGCAGGUUUAUAUUUAUAUGAAUUGUGUACGAUAUGGUUCCGAUUAGAGUUAAAUUAAAAUAGAUAUAUUUUCAAUUUAUUUGAAAGAUUUGCGGCUACAAAUCUUGGUAUAAUUUAUAUAACACAUGUCAAUUAUAUUAAAUGGUUUUCUGGUGCAAAUUUGAAAAUGUUUAGAAUAUAAUGAAAUUAGUAAUCUCUUUUAUUUCCAGUUCCAGAUUUUGUGUUGAUCACACAUCCACAAUC